AUUAAAAAAAAAUUACAUAGAGGGAGAGUCAAGCUCAAGUGCGGACGACUCACACUUCUUUAGUGUUGUAAAAACAGACGCCUGCUUUAAGCAGCAGCGCGAUUUUAUACAUACAUAUAUAUAUAUAUGGUGAAGUUUCACAGCUUACCGGUAAGGCCGUUGUAGGGCAGUUCAAGAGUUUGGAGCAUUGAAAGGGCAGUAAUUUCAGAUGGAAUGCGCCCAGAGAGAACAUAAUUUGUACGAAUUUUGAAAUUUCUGAGGUUCGGAAAGCAAGAGAAUUUGAAACAACCGAGCUCUCCUUUGAUGUUAUCAUUUUCAUACCAGAGUAAGCUGACCCCGAUUACGCUUCCCGCUGAAUUGCAACUGACGCCAGUCCACUUACAAUGAUCGGACGUGUAGUUGCCCGACGUCGCCCAAUUGUUGACCCACCAGCCGGUAGCAAGUAAAGCUUCCCUUUCUAACAGUAUGGGUGACGACAAUAAUCUUGCAGCUGAUGCCGUUACAGAUAUUGUCGUAUCACUUAUAGCACCAACAUUUAUUAAAAUUAAAAUGACCACCAAUCUCGAAACAGUGGAUGCUGCUGCCAUGUUUAUAAUGGUUUUCGGUUGAUUGAGCUGGCUAUUUGAUUCCUUGCAAAGCGUUUAUAUAAGAAUUAAUUGUUUUGCAAGCUCCCGGUGUUAACUUCCAAUACGCGUUUUCAAAUAGUGUGAGUCAAUGUCUUCUCUGGAUGGAUUCAAUCAUGGAGAUAUAACCUUAUCGGCUUGUAUUUGUGAGGUGUAGAUCUAUUUGAACAACUUUGCAGAAACAUGAGAUAAUAUGGACAAUAUUAGAAAUAAUCAAUAGCGCUAUUAAGAUAUUAAAUAUUACCCAAAAUAAUAAAGAAAAAAAAAAGCUCGAAGGAUUGUUGUUGUAAAAUAUGACUCAAAUAGAAAAAUAAACAAGACUAAUCAUAUCUUUGUAUAAAUUUAAGUAUAAAAAAAACUUGUAGGUGUAUUAUUAUAAUAAGCUGUAGAGAAAAGAAUUUGUAGACUUCUGUGAUUUGACAAAAUAAUAAAAUAAUCCCUUUAUUUUUUAAAAUAGUUACAAAACUCCUUUUGCAACAUGCAAACUAUAUGGAAAAUUGGAAAUUCAUGGGCUACCUAAUAUCCCUCUUAUUUUUUUAUUUUUUAUUUUACACCAAAACAUCAUAGACAAAAGAAGAUAAAAAUUUCAUUGCACUCAAUUUUUUUCAUGAAAUCAAACAAGGAAAAGAAGCAAAAAGUGUUGGAAAUAUAGCACAAGUUACUAUUUGAUGCGUGAUUUUGAGUGAGACUUAUCUGUUGUUUCAAAUAUUCCUCCGUAAAUACUUCAGAAUGAUUUUACCUAUAUAAUCAAAAUAACCCUUGGAUAAAUGAGAAAUUGUUACUCAAAGUAAAUUCAUGGAAUUGGAAAAGUAAAGGAAAUUAUAUUUGUCCCACAUGAAAAAGAUAGCAAAGGCAUGAAAGGUUUGUAUAUAAUUACUCAUGUGUGUAUAAGUAAAAUAUAAACCAAGACGCUCUCUCUUCCGUGCCCCAUCCUAAGUACACAAAUUCAAUGUGAUACGAUCCUAUAGUUUCCGUUCAAACCUAUGCACACUUUAAAAAAAGGUUUUUUUUAAUAUAUUUUUUAUGUAUUUUACAUUUUUUUUAAAAUUUAAUAAAUGCCAUAUUAUUUAAAUAUUUAAUUUUAAGGCAUCUUUUUUAAGUUGAGGGCAAGGAACCCCUCCGAUACGUAAUGCCGAAACAUGCUAAUCUAAUCACCUUGACUUUAAAGACUGCUUCCCCUAGUCAGCAAUUAUUUGGAACUUACGUCUUGACAUGUGCUGUGGAAAAUAAAGAAUGAAGUAGACUUAUUGAGUCAAGCUGUUUCUUCAAUCCAGAUAUUUAGUUUAUACGUGUGCAAAUAUUCAAUGCCUAACUUUAUUCUGCACAAAGCCUAAUGUCCUAUUUGGGAUAACGGUUGAAAUACUUAUAAGUUUUGAUAAAAAUGAUGUUUGAUAAAUUUGUUAAAAGUUUAAUUCAUAUUUUCUCCAUUUUGACAAUAACUCUUAAAAUAAGUAUGAGAUUGUCUUUUAUAAGCAACUUAUUAAAUAAAAUGCCAUUUUUUUAAAGUUUCUAUUAUAACUUUAAUAUUUUAAGAAAAGAAUAAGUGUAUCUUAUUUUUUAAAAAAUCCUAAUAUAUAAGUAAAAGACAAUUUAAACUUAUGUUUAUUUUAAUGAUUAUAUAAUAAAAUAUUAUUUUCGUAAUCAAAUUUACCAAACACUGAGUGAGCUACUUUUAUAAUCAUUAGAUAAUUCCAUUCACAUCGCAGAAGCAGCUUAUUUCAACAGCCACCAAAAUCUUAAACUGAUCCUAAGUCAUGUUCGGAAUUGCAUGGGAUUGUCAAAUAAUUAACAAAAGAAGCUAUUAUGUAGGAGAAUAGGAACAGGUUCACCUGGAGCAAUAUACUCAUAAGCUUGGCUACUAAUAAACGGAGCGUGUAAGGAUAAACACCUAAGUUUUGAGAGAUACAUGUAUCUGGAGGGCAAAUUCUUUUUCUCCCACCGGCUUCAAGGACCUAUACAGUAACUCCUAAAUCAAAGGGAGAAAAUGGUUAAUCCAAUGUGGUUGUGUAUGAAUUGAUAUUCACCGUAUGAUUAUUACAUAAAGAUUGAACCUUUGUACGUGCUUUAUAUUAAGUAAAACUGCACACUUGUUCUACACAUUUAGACAACCCAGAUUAAGAAUUAUGAAAAUGAAAUCUACAACUAGCUAGGUGCACUAUUAUUUAUCUUUGCUCCUUAAAUAUUAGAAAGAUAGAGGAGAGGGAGAAAAAGAAAAGACUAAUUUUGUAGUCCAAAUUUAAUCUUAUGCUCUGAUUUUGAAGCAAAUCAGCAGAGUAUUUGAGGAACCAAUCAUGAACCAUGUCCAUUUCAAUCUUUCGCUGCAUUACUAACCAUUCGGGGUCAUCUUCUGUUGCUGGCUGUAUGUCUAAGCAAUGGGAACCUGCUCCAAUUUACACACUAUUAAUUAUGUUAUCCAAUAAUUUAGUUAAUAAUUGAACACUAAUUUUUUAUUUUAUAGAAAAAGUUACAUACUGUUUUUUGUUGUCACUGCUAUUAUAUUGUUUGAUAUAUUUUCCAGAACCCUAUAAUCCCAAACAAAGAAAGAAAAAGAAAAAGGUAUAUAAUAAAACGGGUAACUUCAAUAGAAAAGAAUAUCCAAAAUUCUUAAGCUAAAUUACCCAGCGCUGCUACAGGGAUCGCGGUGGCCAUUAGAGAAAACAAUGUUGCUACCAAAUCUCUUUAAAACCACUCUUAUAUCCUGCAAAUUAAAAAGAAAUAAAAAUCAAACUCAAGAACGAGGUGAAGUUUUUAAUUUAAAAAAGGAAAGAAAAAGAGAAAAUUAAAAGAAUUAAUUUGGGGAUUAAUUGACACUUACAUGACCACCAUAAUAAGUUGUAAUCCAAUGUGGUCUUGGAACCACUCCAAAAGACUUAUUGCAUGAAUCCAUAUAUUCUGUCAGAUAAAAUGGGUAUGCUUGAAACAUUGUUUCCUUUUGGCCAAUUCCAAUUGGUGAGACCAUUUCACUGCAUGUCUACAUGAGAAACCCCCUAUAUUAAUAAUAAUAAUAAUAAGAUAAAGAAGAAAAAUAUUUUUAAUCAUUCAUAAAUAUAUAGUGUUAGAGUGCAAUUUAUGCACUAGUUUUGCAUUGUUUACUUCCCUUAAUAUCGAUGUUUUGCACUUAAUAAUAGUGAUUUACUUGUGUUUUACUUUUGUGGGUGCAGUUCUAUUGAUUUGUGAUAAAAUUGAGCUAUAAGAUGUUGUUUAAAGAUGAUUGUUCUCUUGGAGAAAUUUAGAGCGUCAGAAGAACUUUGUUGAUAAGGCGUGGGCGCGUGCUGUCAACUGCGGGCCUGCAGUUUUUAGUUUAACAUGUUUUGUAUUUUUGGUUAUUUUGUAAUUACGAAUUUAAUAUUUCAGUUAUUAGUAUUUUAUUUUAAAUAGAAUUCUAAAAGAGAAGAGAGAGAGAGUAUUUAAGGGAGGAAUCUAUUGUGAAAAAGGAGACUUUUGGAGAAGAGAAAGAAACCUUAGGUCUAAACUUUUCUCUUCUCUCUAUGAAGCACUAAACCUAUUUUUCUGGUUGAAGGAUAAUGAAGCUUUGAUUCAUCACUACUGUGAGAUCUAUUUUAUGCUUUAAUUGUUUUAUUGCUUUUUGGGUAUUUGUUUAUUCUCUGAAUUAUUUUCAUGAUUAUGUUUGUUAAUUAGGUAAUUGGCCACUAUUUAAUUAUCAACUUAAUCUAUUAUUAAUUAAAGGAUUCAUCGUAUGAAAAUUUUAAUGUUUGUGACAAAUAACAUACCAAUGAGUUGUGUUAUGAGAAUAAACAAUCUAAUUUAAAUGAAUCAUCGUAUGUGUUGAUUAGGAUUUGGGUCUCUCUGGUCUUUCAGGCUAUCAAUUGAUUAAAUCCUAUGAUCGUAUCUAGGAUUGUCUAUUGAUUAGGGAAAUAGCCAACGGUCGUACCUUGGUUAUCGACUAGUUAAGGAGAGAUUGGCUAUUAGAGGGUCUCAGUAGCUAUAACCGGUCUAUUCAUAAGUAAUAAUAAUCUAUAUUUGAAUCAAUGAUCAGUAAUCGAAUCUAGCUGAAUUAAUUCCUUCAACCAGAGCUUUCUCCAAUUUGAAUUACAACUUUAAUUUGCAUUCUUGUUAUUUUAAUUUGAUUUUUAUUAUUGUCAACAAAACCCCCAUUUUAUGUUUUACGUUUUAAAAGGAUUUAAAUAAUUACCGAUCUCUGUGGACACGACCCUGCUCAAUCACUAUACACAAUUUAUUUAGAGUAGGAAUUUAUUUUUGUUGGCUUCGACAACCAUCGUAUAGUCAUAUAAAUAAAAUUAAGAGAUGUACAUAAAAUAGGUAUUGUUAGGCGAAAGACUAAUUCAUUGCGACAUGUUGUUUAUUUGAUGGUCUCAAUGGAACUAUCCAAUGAAAUCACGUCAUCUGUAAUCGCACUUGAGCAGAGUUGAAAUAUCCACUAAGAGUUGCAUUCUGUAGGGCAUCUUUACAUGAUACAAAAGGCACCGAUUUUCCAUAGAACUGAUGCUGCACAAAAAAUCAAAUUAAAAAAUAUAUAUAUAUCACAACUUUUUAGUUGAUAUUAUAGAUUAAAUUUAUCUUUAUUAUUAUUGUUUCGCGUUCGAACUCUGUUUCAAUUAUUAUCAAAUUCUUUACUUACCUCUAUGUAAACUUGUAAGCCUUUAAAUCGAUGAGCAUUAUCAGUAACCUGGAUUUGUAUGUUAUUAGGAGGUCGUUGCUUAGAGAUUCCCAUGUCCACUCUUAGUGCCAAAAGACUUGGUCUUGAUGCACAGGUGACAAGUUUGUUGGGGAGUACAUUUGGACUCGCUAUCUUGAUUUAGUUCCAAACAUCAUAGCAUUUGGUUAUUUAUGUUGGUCAAAGUUCGCAAGUUCAGUUUGCGUGGUCAACUCAAGUAGACGAGAGAGUUGUGCAACUCUUGACCAUGCGUGCAAAUGCCAAUGUAUGUGGCUUUAAAAUUUGGCAGUGAGGACGUAUGAUCCCCCACAGCCUGGAAUCAAUGUGUGUCUGAAACCUUUUUUGAACGAAAACACGGAGCAAAUGUGAGCUUCUCGCAGGCUAAGGUUCCAAGAGAGGUUACAUAUGUUUACCAUGAAGUGUCAUAUGAACUUGUACAGAUUGAUUUCCGAUGUUUCUUUUUCCCGGUAAUUUCUUAUUUUAAAUCUUAUUGCUUGUCUUUGUGUAUGUGCGUUGGGCUGGAGGCUCCAUUGAAAUGGUGUUUCCUCAAAUUAUGAAUUAUAAUGCUCGUAAGUGUUAAUAUCAUCUCUUCUAGUCCAGCUUAUUAAGAAAGUCUUUCAGAAUCCUAUUCAAACAUAUUCCUUUUUUUUUUGUUUUUUGGAAGGAAAGAUUUUCUUGCUGGAAAUGUUGUUAAUUAACAAGGAUUCUGGUUGUAUUAACUAUUUUGUAAACAAAUUCUUUCAUCUGUACUACAAUAGCAGAUGACGGAGCUCACUGGGAAUAUUUUAUAUUUUUACCAUUGAUGUGAUAACUAAUAUAAGGCAUAAUGGUUUCUGUACCAUUUCCAGCCUCAGCCUGAUUCCAAUACUUGUGGAUCAAAGCAGAAAGUUGCCACACCACCUGUAGGUCCUGGAGAGCUUCCUUCAACGGGUUCAAACAAACCCAAGGAGUGGAGUUGUGCCCUCUGUCGGGUCAGUGCUACUACCGAGAGAGGUCUAGAUGAGCAUCUUCAAGGUAGGAAGCACAAGGCCAGGGUUUCAGGACUAAUUAGAGAUAAGAAAAUGUGCAGUAACUCCACUUCAUCCACGUCAAAAAAAUCUACUGAAAGCAGAGAUGGUGUUGGCCAAGAAAUGAAGACUAAAGUACAAGAGGAAUCAGUUAAAGCUAAUAAAACUGUUGUUGGUCUAGACCAGAAAGGGGAGGUUGGUCUAGAUGAGCAUCCUCAAGGUAAGAAGCAGAAGGCCAAGGAAGAAGAACUACUUGGAGCUCAGAAGUGGAUAAAAAAUCUAAUGAAAGCAGAGAUAGUGCUGGCCAAGAAAUGAAGACUAAAGUAGCAGAGGAAUCAGUUAAAGCUAAUAGAACUGUUGUUGGUUUAGACCAGAAAGAGGAGGGUUGUCAAGCCCUGCAGGUUAAGCCCUAUCCCAACCUUUGUGGAUCAAAGCAGGAAGCUGCCACACUACCUGCAGGUUCUGGUGAGCUCCCUUUGACCAGUUCAAGGAAACCCAUGGAUUAAAGCUGUGCCCUCUGUCAGGUCAGCACUACUCACAACAGAGAUCCAGAUUAGCAUCUUCAAGGCAAGAAGCACUAGGCCAAGGAAGGAGGACUACUUGGAGAUGAGAAGAUGUGCAGUAACUCCACUUCCAGAAACUCUACUGAAAACAGAGAUAGUGCUGGCCAGGAAAUUAAGGCUACUCUAGAAGAGGAAUCAGUUACACCGAAUAAAAAUAUCGUUGAUUUAGACCAGAAAGUGGAGGGUGGUCAAGAUGAGCAUCUUCAAGGUGAGAAGCACAAGGCGGAGGAAGCGGAGCUAAUUGGAGCUCAGAAGAUGUGCACUACCUCAUCUUCAUCGACAUCAAAAGAUUCUGGAAAGACAAGUAGACCAGAAAGUGGGUUAAGACCAGAAAGUGCUGGCCAAGAAAUGAAAGCUAAAGUAGAAGAGGAAUCAGUUAAAGCUAUUAAAACUGUUGUUGGUUUAGACCAGAAAGUGCAGGGUGAAGAAGAUUCAGAGAACAAAAAUAAGGAGCUGCUAAAGAAGGACUUGAAUGCAAACACUCAGAAGAUGACAAAUGGAAUACCGACUGGAGAGACGAUGAAGAGAAAACUUCCCCUUAGAGAGAAUUUCGAAUUCUGGUGUGAAGUUUGUCGAGGAGCUCAGAAGAAAUGAAGAGAAACUUCAUAUAUGCAUGGUUAUGACAUUGGACUCUUCGGCUCAAAGCAAAUUUUUCUUGAUCAUGACCUGACAUUAGUUUAUCUUUUGCUGGCAGGUAGUUGGCGGGAUAUCACUAACCACAACUUAUGCAGAAGCUUCCUAACAUCAGCGGUGGGUCCAGGAUGUUUGAUCGGAUCAGCUAAAUUAUUGUAUAUGUUUGUGUGAAUAUUUACAAAGGAGUGAAAAAACUAAUAUAUUAAAUAUCAAGAACCUCGUUCUGAAUGAAGUUUAUAUAUAUAAUUUGUAAAAUAAACUAAUAAUUAAAAUGACAAUUUACCCUUUUAACUCGUAGAGAUACAACCUUAAAUAAUAACAAGAGAGGAGCUCUCCAGGAUGCUUGUAGUGUCUAAAAAAUUAUCAUCAAUGAAAAUGGGAAUGGGAGGGCGUGGUGGGGUUGAUGAUCUAAGACUCUUUGCUCAUCACUGGUGGCCGUAAUAAUGGGGGCUUGGAGCACCUUCACUUCAACCCCCAGCAGCUCCUCGGCCUUUACCACUCAAUGAGCAAACCCUCUGGCGGCAGCAGCAUCUCCUGUGGCUAUCAUUGUUGCUGAACGAUAAAUUUGUGCUGCCCCUGAGAAGCUGAAAUUGCAAGAACAAGGCAGCAACUCAAAAACCAGCAAUCUUUUAAAUGUAAGCAAGCAUAAUAAUUAUUCAUAAAACGUUGAAACACAAAGUCCUGCUAGAUUCAAAAUUUAGAAGACUCGUGAUACAAUAAGAACUUAAAGUGUAUAUACGAUUAUGCAUUACAAGUGAAGUUGCAUGCUAUAUGAAGUUUUAAAAUAUGUCUCACUUUUCAAUGAUUUCUGGUAAAUCGCUAAUCCGAUAAUAUCAAAUAUCCUUCAUAAUCUUCAUCUUCCUCUUCUUCGUCGUCAUCGUCUUCUUUAGAUAUUUUUCCUCCUUCAACACCGUUAACCAUAUUUUUCAACUGCAAUGUCAGUUUGGAAGUAAUAUUUAUGAAGUUCAACAAGUUUCAAAUUUUGAUAUUGUUUGAAAUGUGAAUGAUAAGUACAACUUCUACCAUUAUUUAUAGAAAAAUAUGCAAUAUUGGCUUUGAGGAAAUAUAAUAAAGUUUACAAUUAAGAAAGGUGUAAUCCUAAAUCUCGAAAAAUCUGAUACUAAAUCUUAAAAUGUAAAUAUUUAAAUCCCGAAGAAUCCGAUGCAUAUUCUAACAGAUAGUGUUAUAAUUGUUGGAUUUACAUGGAGUCUAAUUAUAGUAUUAACGUUAGUACUCGAAUUCUCAUAUGAUCUAAACUUCUCUUGAGUAAAACUCACAUGGGAGAUUUGUGAUCCAUAAAUAAUUAUAUAAAAAAAAGAUAGUAAUUAAAUCAUAAUCGGGAGCGCUUAGAUCUUUUUUAUUUUUACUAUGAAGAGCUCAAUCGGGAGAAAAUUUAAAUUUUUAAGGGGAAAAAGCAACCCACACUCCCGAAGUUUGCUUAAAUAGUCACACAAACCCCCUUAAUUUCAUAAAUGAUGGAUUGCAUACCAUUAAGUCUAAAUUUCAUAAAUACUGUAAUAUUUUUAUCUAAUGAUGAAGAUAACGAUGAGAGGAGCUCUCUAGGAUGCUUUCCCAUUAGUACUUCUAGUGCCACCACUCCAAAGCUAUAAACAUCAGAUUUCUCCGUCACAACCAUGGUGUAGGCAAGUUCUGUAUGAAAACAGAAGCCUUUAUUAGUGAUGUUUCCUAAAUAAUAACAAGAGCAAUUUGUUUAUAUCUUUGAGCUUCUGCAGCAAGGUAUGACAGAGAACCAUAUGUUUUUAACUGAUAUUUAAAGUGUAUUUUUUUUUUAAAAAAAAGUGAAACUGGUAGGCAAAGUUCAAAUUCAUUUUUCCAGCUCUUUACCUAUUCAAAAAUUUGAACCUAAGUAGCUAAUUAAAUAAAACUGCUUAAAAAUUACUUAACCGAGUAUAUACAAAAAUUAAUUAAAAGAAUAAUUAAAGAAGCAGAAGAAGAAUAGCUAGAAGAUUACCAGGAGCAAUAUAUCCAUAAGUGCCAGCCAAUAGAGUUCGAUUGGAUGAGUCAAAAUUUAAUAAUCUAGCAACGCCAAAGUCAGCAACAAAUGCUUCUAAUUCUGAGUUGAGUAGAACGUUGUUGCUUGAUAUGUCGCGGUGAACAAUUGGUGGUGUGCAGUCAUGAUGCAAGUAUGACAAAGCAUGAGCCAUGCCCUUCACACCGUUCACCCUUUUAGUCCAAUCCAACCCAACAGCUUCCUCAUCUAUGCGUAGAAUACAUAACAAGCUUCCCAUUUCCAUGUACUCAUAGAUCAAGAACACGCAGUUCUCGUGCAAACAAAAGCCGUAAAGCUUUACGAUAUUUCGAUGCCGUAUUUGGGACAGUAGACGAGCCUCAUUCCGGAAACUCUCGAGGGAAGCUAACUCCUCAGUUUCUGAACGGUGAAGCUUCUUCAAAGCAACCACUUUUCCACUGGGCAGCCGUGCUCUGUAAACGCUGCCGUAGCCUCCGGUUCCAAUGCAGUAUUUGAUAUGGAAAUCCUCAGUAGCUUCAAUCAUGUCUUGAAAUGUAAUUCUACCGUCGUAAUUCCAAAUUGCAAACUCAUCAGCGCACUUGGUGAUUUCUUCUGUCUCAGCUGGUUCAACUCUCUUAUCCCUUCGUCUACGGACAAACAAGAUUCCAAAUAUCAAGGCAAGGAAUGCGACCAUAGGGAGAAUAAUUGCAACCAAGCGAGUGACAAUCUUUUUGUGAUGUGGCGGUGGCGAAUUUGCCGAAGUAUUUGGGAUUUCUACCUCGAAAUUGUUGCCUGACACAUAUAAGAGAGGCACUUUUUUGACAGAUUCAGGGAUGCUACCGGAAAGGCUAUUCAUGGAAAGGUUCACGGUAUCUAUGCGUCGAAUUUCUCCAAGCUGGGAAGGUAUUUUACCAUUAAUCAAGUUAUGGCUUAAAUCAAGAUAAUUUAGUUCUUGAAGUUUGCCAAUCUCUGACGGAAUGCUUCCGCUUAACAAGUUGUUUCCCAAUAUUAAUAUCCGCAGCUUUGAGCAAUUCAUGAGUUCUGGAGGAAUUGGACCAUCAAGUUUGUUGUUGUACAUAUUUAAAGUAGUUAGCUGAGUCAAAUGACCCAGGGACGACGGGAUUGGACCAACAAGUUUGUUUUCGGACAAUUCUAAAUCUGUCAACCUAUUUAAAUGACCAAGUGUUAAAGGAAUAGAUCCAGUUAGAUUGUUAUAUUCCAGGGACAGAGAUGUCAAGUUGACUAAACCAGCUAUGGUGGAAGGAAUUGGACCUUCAAGUUUGUUGUCGGACAGGUCAAGAACUUGAAGAAAGUUCAAAUUCCCGAUUUCUAAUGGGAUGGAACCAUUGAUUAGGUUUGAGUGCAUAUAAAAAGUAGUUAGCUGAGUCAAAUGACCUACAGACGAAGGGAUUGGGCCAACAAGUUUGUUCUGGGACAAGUCUAAACUUCUCAACCUCUUUAAAUGGCCAAGUGUUUGAAGGAAUUGAACCUCCAAUUUCAUUUCAGGACAGGUCAAGAACUUGAAGAAAGUUCAAAUUCCCGAUUUCUAAUGGGAUGGAAACAUCAAUGUGGUUUGAGGCAAUAGCCAAAGUAGUUAGAUGGGUUAGAUGACCUACAAUGGAGGGGAUAUUACCAACAAGGGAGUUAGAAGACAAGUGCAAAUUUUCCAAUUUGCUUAGACGACCAAGAGUUGGAGGGAUAUAUCCCCAGAGGAAAUUAUCAGAUAGAUCCAGGUGGACGAGAUUCCUCCAUCUCCCCAUCUCUGAAGGGAUAAUUCCUGUUGCGCAUGUGAUUUAUGAAAAACGAGAUCAGUAUUCACUAUCCUCAUAGAAAUAAAAUUUAUAAAGAAAUGCUUAGGUUGUAAAAAUUAAUAGAUUUUUUAGUGCUCUAAUAGUUUUUUUUUUCUUAUUUUUUGUUGGGGCUCGUCAAUGCUGCAAAUUUUAGACUGAAAGUUAAAUCUGCAGAUGCAACAAAUAUAUCAAUAAAUUAAUACAAAACUAUGGAGAUUAGAGAGAAUCACUCUCAGUGCUCUCAAUUGACUACCCUAUUGUUGUGCAAAUUUUAAUGAACUCGCAAGCGCACGAAUCUAUUGUAGUAUAGACUAAUGGUGACGAGUGUCGAUCCCACGAGGAGGUGGAUUUUAAUUAUAUAUAGAAUUAAUUUUGUAAAUGGGUGGUUGGAAUUGUGGUGGAAGUGAUUUAAAUUAUCCUAAAAUUGGAAUUGAAAUGGCGAUAAUAAAUUCUAAAAUUGGACUUGCAAUGGCGAGAAUAAAUUGAAGAGAAAUCUAUUAAAAUGACUUAUUUGGGUAUCUGGAUCCGUAUCAACAUGCAUCAUGGGCUAAAUAUUCCUUAUUAAUGCCAAUUAAAUCAUGAGGGGGGAAUCCACACCUCAUGAACCACGCUCUAAUCAAUAUGGUGCUAAGGGCUUAUCGUGCCAAAUAAUAAUAACCUUGUACUAGAGGGCCGGUGAAACCAAGGCGGUACUAGACAAGAUUAGUAUUAUUUGUCGACGAGAAGUCAAAACAUCCACAAAAACUAGAGGGGAAGAGAAAAUAAAUUUACCAAAUUAAGCCCAUGACACAUGUUGAGACUUCACCUUCAACCCAAGCUUGAAAGAAAAUUAGCCACUCAUAAUUGAACUAGGGGCAAAAUGAGAAUUUAUUAAAAUACGAAGAAAAUACAAGAUAAAGAAGGAAUUACAGAAAAUAAAGUCCAAAAAUGGAUUCAGCGAUAUCAAAUUAGGGGGGGGAGGCCCCCUUUUUAUAGAUACAUGGAGUAAAUUAUGGCCAUCGGAUUAAAAACAGUUUGGACGCUCAGGAUUACGCCACGUCAUCAGUCAACAGUCCACGGUUUGACCACGUGGAUGAACAGUAAUACGGUUUGACUCGGAUGAACAGUAACGCGGUUUGGUUGAAAAUAAUCCUGUGUGAUGCAUGUACCGUACGCGAGAUUUUUCGUCCACUGAUAUGCUGCCACGUCACCAUCAACAGUACAUAAGAAUUUUAGCCCAACAGGAUCGUGACACCUCAUCAGUCAAUGCCACAUCAUCAUCUGUCUAUGUGAACAGUGUCGUGAACAGUAACGUAUAUACAGUACCGUACACGUGAAUAGUACCGUACAUGUGAUCAGUGCCAUUUUUCUUUUUAUGCUUCUCCUAAGGUUUUCGACCGUCCUGAGUUCAAAAGUGAUGUCCGUUUUGCCAUCUGAUUUCUCGUUUAUUGUGAAAUGACUAUGAUGCCCCUAAAAUACAUAAAAUACUUAAUUAAAAUAAAACACAUGUAAUUAAAUCACAAGAAAGUUAAAUACAUAAAAGUAAGGGUUGUUAAUAAGACUUGAAAUGUAAAAUGACGGUUUUCUCCUUUAUAAAUAUGCAUUUUCUAACACUCAACACACCCCCCAACCAGUUUAUUGCUAGUCCCUAGCAAAUAAAGCGAAAACAAAAAAAAUAAUUUUUUUUAAUAGAAACACUCAUAUUUAUUCCAUCAGAUUAAUGAUAGCAAUUAAAUAAAAGUAUAAGCAUUAUCUCCAGUCUAAAGCAACAUCACACCCACAUCAACCAUCCACAUGAAUCAGCCCAGUAGACUUUGUCAUAGCUACUUUCAAGAAUGACAUGUCAAACCCCAAACUGGAAGUAGUGACACUCUCACAAAGAAAUUAAAACCAAUAAAAAUAGUCACUCCAAUGAAUGGUAAUUGAGAGAGAAAAUAAUAAAGAAGUGAUAUCACAUGCUCUCACCAAAAUGAAAUAAAUAUGCCCUCAGCUUAGAAAUAAUACGAUCUCAAGUCAAAUAAAAAUGCUAGUUAACCCAAUUUAUUUGUCUUAUUUAUUUAUUUAUUUAUUUUUAUUAUGCAGCACUACAUCUUUUUAGCUCAUAUAACUAGCUUCUACUUCAGACUAUAGUUCCCUAAACUCAAGAAGGACUUUUAUUAGGACGUACCGUAGGUUAGGGACAUGGUUAACAAAGAAGGGAAAUAAGGAAAAUAAAGUGUAUGUUUGAGAAAAAAAAAUUGCAGGGAUUUUUUUUUUUUUGGAAGUUGCAAGGUGGAUUUCACCUAUUGUUGUUAUUUUUUUAUUUUUUAUUUUUCUUUUGAAACAACAAUUUUUGUUUUUUUGUUUUUUGUUUUUUUUUUACUUUUAUUUGGCAUAACUUCACUGAACAAAAAUACUUAUUUACAUUUUUCUCAAACAUAAAUAGGUGAUGGAACUUAUAAGACAUUGGGUAAUACUCCAAAUCGGAGUGGGUCAAGAUAAGUUAAACAAAUAAAAGGUUUUUUUUUUUUUUAAAAAAAGGCUCAAAAUGGUUAACUAUGGAUAUUUCACAAAAGGGAUGGCUAGAAAGGCUCAAACGGAUCAAAGAUGGCCUUUCCAUCGUCUUUUAGGGCUCUAAAUAAUCAUCCAUAUCUACUAGUUAGAUGGGCCUCCCAAUGUAGCAACAUACAUUUUUUUUUCUUUUUCUUUUUUUUUUAUUUUACCAUUUUUUUUAAGGGUUAACUCAAAAGAAAUCUAGAGAUCGUGUAUAAAAUAAUAAACUGCUAAGCUGUAUAGAGAAUGGGCAAAAGGGUUACUCUCCAAGAAAAUGAUAGGCUCAACAACUCACUUGGCAUUUAUUUAUAGCAUGUUCAUUCCUUCAAGCAACUUAUAUUUGUCUCCGACAUCAACAUGUAAAGUAGCAAACAUAGCGUAACAUCACUUAAGACUAAAGAUAAUACAAAUACUAAAAUUUGAAAUUAAUCAUGUCAUCCAAUGUUAAAACAAAUCACACAAAUUAUUAUUAUUAUUUUUUAAACAACAUUCUACCCCCCAACCUAUUCUAAGCAUGAAAGGAAAAUAUGCAUGCAGAAAUGUGAAUAUGAUGCAGAAAAACUAAUUAGAAAAGUUACACUUAAAAUGAUGGAAAACCAAAAUGAUUUUUUUUUUAAAGAAGAUGCGUUUCUAGAGGAACUACACUCCAUAUUCAGCCAUCUUCGACUCACAAGUUGGAAAAUGUAUAUUUAUAGAGGAGAAAUUAAAAAGAAGAAAAAUAAACAUAAAAACAUAAUACAGAAAAAGAAAAUGUCUGAAAUUUUUUUAAUUUUUUUUUAAUUUCUUUAACGAUGAAGAUGCGUUUCUAGAGUAACUAUACUCCAUAUUCAGCCAUCUUCAACACAAAAAGUUAGCAACAGUUAGUUUCUACAACAAAAAAUUAGUAAAAACUUAACCAAAAUUCCACAUUUGUCGACUAUUCCCUCCCCCCAACCAGAACGAAACAUUAUCCUCAAUGUUUUAAAGGAAAGAAGUAGAGUUUAGAAGACAUCACCUGGGUGGUGCAACACAGAAGAAAAUAUUUAUAGGCGGAGAGUUAAAUCUAAUUUUUACUUCUUACUGCGGCUACUGUUACCAUCAUUAUUUGGAGGCUCCAACCCCAACACAAAGGUCUAGGGGUCUGGGUCCGGUUUAUAAGCUUGUAACAGAUCAAGUAGCUCAUUAGCAGUGUGAGCACAAAUAAAGAGUUUUUUCGCAUUAGGGGGAAUGAAAUAGUUUUUUAUUGCAUGGUUAAGAAAUGCGAUAAAGCCAUCAUAAAAGUUAUUGACAUUUAACAAACCGAUGGGUUUCUGGUGGAUGUACAGAUGGGCCCAAGAUGCUAGUGUGAUAAGUGCCUCUAGUGUUGCAAGAUCUCCUGGAAGGAAAAUAAAAGCAUCAGCAUGAUUAAGCAUUUCAGUUAUUCUUUCUUGCAUACCUGAGACGACUAACUCUUCUCCAGUUGAUGAGUCAAACGAACUACCCAAAGGUUUUAGGGCUCUUGGGAUGAUGCCUAACACUUGGCUGCCUCUGAUAAAAGCUGCUUCUGAGACCAUUUUUGUUAACCCUCGAUUACCUCCUCCAUACACCAAGUGUAAUUUUCUCGCUGCUAUGCUGCGACCAAGAUCUAUGGCUGCCUCAACAAACUCUUUAUGUUUGCCAUAUGAAAAUCCAGAAAGCACACAAAUGUUCUUGAAUUGUCUAUUUGGAGUAGCUGCCAUUGGGAUACUUCUCAAAAAAUAAUUUGUUAGUGCUUGACAAAAAAAAUCACAUUUAAGAGUCUUGGUGACAAUGGGUCACAGUUGUGUAUGAGGUAACAUGUCAGUGUCAAAUAACGCGUAAAGCACGUGGCUCGCGAGUCAAAAAGGAAACAGUAAAAAGGGAAAAAGAAAACAAUAAUAAGGAAAAAGCAAACAGUAAUAAAAUUAUUAAAGACAAUAAUGCACACAGUAAAACAAUAGUGAAAUAAAAUAACAGUAAAGUGAAAGGAUAUUUACAGGUAGUUGCGACUGUGGCUCACAUCUUCCUCUGGUUUUACGUCCAGAAACGGCUUGAACGCCCUCUAUGGGUCGAGGAUAGGCUUCAUAUCCAGUUUUCUUAUAAAUUGGCAAACAGGGUCGUUUAUAGUCAGAUUCCCGAGACUAUAUCGUGCAUGCUCUUUCUGGAAUAAUGGCCAUAACUGGAGAAUCGCUCCUUGCACAUAUCCACUGGGAUGCGUUUCAAGAGGCAAAAGGAUAUCAUCCAAUGACUCCUUAUUCAAGCCAUCCUUAAUGAAUUGAAUCUUAUCUUCCCUGUUAUCAGACAUCAUUCCUAAAGAACAUGGGUUUUUAUUGCAACUCAUUCUGGCACACUUAUGACAAGCAACAGAAAUUCUUCGAGCUCGUCAUUUUCUUGCAUAAUUUCCUUUACCACAACCAGGCAUGUAUGUAAUAAAUUUUGGAGGUAACUCACCUGUCGAUCGUACUUUAGCCUCGAUUAACCAACGGAUGUCAGCAGGUAUGUUAUUCCUCAAGAGUAAUCGGAUGCGUUCGGACCGAACUUUAUAGAUCGUAAGGAGGGCACUCUGACGAAGUAAAGGGAAUCGCUUGUGAAGCUUCGCUAGAAUCUCGUUUCUGUCCAUACUUUCGCCUCAGAAUAUUAGUUAUUAUGGGAAACUGAAGUAACCGACUUGAUUGUCACGGAGUACCGUUAUCCGCCACUUCACCGGGGUAACAAACUAAAGCACACAAAUAGAAAAACAAAUUAAAACACACAAAGAAAAUUAAAAUCGUCCUCUUAUUGAAUUUACCUCAAGCUCCAACUGGAUGUCAUAAACACUUCUCUCAAUGUCUCUGAGUUGGCUUUCUAAACCCUCAACAUAGGCUACUAACUCUGGUGGUUGUAGAGUCCAAAUACGAUGUGUUUUACAAAAUUGAAUCUGUCUUUUGAGAUGAGUUUUGACACGUUAAAGUGGUUUAAGAAUGUUCAGGAGGAACGGUCUAAGUAUGAGACUCAUGAUUAACAAUGAUAAGAGAAAACUUACUAGUUAAACAAACACACUUAUGCAAAAAUAAUUUCAAUUAGCAAAAGAAUAAUAUAAAGAAAGAAAGAAAAAUCAAAUCAACGAAAAGAAAAAUCAAUUCAAAUCUGGUGGGUCACUCAAAUUUAUUUCGGUGUCUUCUCCAUGUGGUUGGUAUUCUAGAUAUGGUUUUAAUCUUUGACCAUUAACUUUAAACGUGACACCGUUCUUUGGGUCCUUAAUUUCAAUUGCCCUAUGUGGAAAAAUAGUAUGAACAAUAAAUGGGCCAGACCAACGAGAGCGUAACUUACCUGGGAAUAGGUGCAAACGAGAAUUGAAUAAAAGCACUUUCUGACCUGGAGUGAAAGAUUUUCUCAUAAUUUGCUUGUCAUGGAAGGCUUUCAUUCGUUGCUUGUAAAUCUUGGCAUUUUCGUACGCGUCAUUGCGAAUUUCUUCAAGUUCUGCCAGCUGUAAUCUUCUUUCUGAGCUGGCUUGCUGCAUGUCAAAAUUGAAUUUCUUGAUGGCCCAAUAUGCACGAUGCUCGAGUUCCACAGGUAGGUGGCAAGCUUUUCCAUACACUAGCCUGUAGGGUGACAUCCCAAUCGGGGUCUUGAAAGCCGUUCUAUAUGCCCAUAAUGCACCAUCAAGUCUUAAUGACCAAUCUUUCCUGUCUGGCCUCACUGUCUUUUCUAAUAUGUGCUUUAUUUCUCGAUUGGAAAUCUCAACUUGGGCACUGGUUUGCGGAUGAUACGGGGUCGCCACUUUGUGUGUGAUUGAAUACUUUGUCAAAAGAGCCUUGAAUGGUUUGUUACAAAAGUGGGCACCACCAUCACUGAUUAUUGCUCGAGGGAAUCCAAAGCGCGAAACAAUGUUGCUUUUCAAAAAUCCUAUCACCACCUUGUGAUCAUUGGUCCUACAUGAAAUUGCUUCUACCCAUUUCGAUAUGUAGUCAACAGCAACCAAUAUGUAUUGAUGGCCAAAAGAAUGGGGAAAGGGUCCCAUGAAGUCGAUACCCCAUACAUCAAAAAUCUCAACCACUAAAAUUGGAUUUAGUGGCAUCAUGUUCCUUCGUGUAAUGCUCCCCAUUCGUUGACACCUAUCACAUGAAGAACAAAAAGUGUAAGCAUCUUGAAAUAUAGUUGGCCAAUAAAAACCACAUUGUAAAACUUUAGUUGCUGUUUUCUUAGCACUGAAAUGGCCUCCACAAGCUUGUUCAUGGCAGAAUGAAAGAAUAUUCUGAAUUUCAUUUUCUGGGACAUAUCGUCUAACAAUUUGGUCUGCACAAUACUUGAACAAAUACGGGUCAUCCCAAAAGAAAUUCUUUAUCUCUGCAAAUAAUUUAGCCUUAUCUUGCUUGGUCCAAUGCUCUGGAAGUUUACCUGUAACAAGAUAAUUAACUAUAUCACCAUACCAAGGCAAUACUUCCGCACUCAUUAAUUGUUCAUCUGGAAAUGACUCAUUCAAUAUUAAUGGCUCUGUAAUUGUGUCAAAAUGGAGACGAGAGAGGUGGUCCGCCACAACAUUUUCUGUCCCUUUCUUAUCUUUGAAUUCCAAGUCAAAUUCCUGCAAAAGUAACACCCAAUGAAUUAGUCUGGCUUUUGCAUAUUUCUUUAUGAGAAGAUAUUUAAGAGCAGCAUGAUCCGUGAAUAUAAUUAUUUUACAACCAAUGAGAUAGGAUCGAAAUUUUUCCAAUGCAAACACUACUGCUAGCAUUUCUUUUUCAGUAGUUGAAUAAUUCAACUGGGCAUCAUUUAAUGUCAUACUAGCAUAGUAAAUAACGUGGGGAAUUCGAUCAACUCUUUGUCCUAAUACUGCUCCUACUGCAUAAUCAGAUGCAUCACACAUGAGCUCAAAUGGUAAGUUCCAGUUCGGGGACUGAAUGAUGGGUGAUGAUGUCAAUAAAUGCUUUAAUUUUUCAAACGCAACAAGACAUGAAUCAUCAAAGACAAAAGGUACAUCCUUAGCAAGUAGAUUGCAUAAGGGUCUAGAAACUUUGCUAAAAUCUUUAAUGAAACGUCUAUAGAAACCAGCAUGCCCAAGGAAAGAUCUUACUUCUCUGACUAUUUUGGGUGGAGGAAGAUUAGAAAUGAGAUCCACUUUAGCUUUGUCAACCUCAAUACCAUUGCUCGAAAUAAUGUGACCAAGAACAAUACCUUGUUUUACCAUAAAAUGGCACUUCUCCCAAUUUAAGAUCAAGUUCUUCUCAAUACAUCUCUGCAGAACUAGUGUUAGAUGAUGUAAACAUUGAUCAAACGAAUCACCAAAGACAGAAAAGUCAUCCAUAAAGACUUCAAGGAAUCGUUCAACCAUAUCAGAAAAAAUGCUCAACAUGCAUCGUUGAAAUGUAGCAGGUGCAUUACAUAAUCCAAAUGGCAUUCUCCUAUAUGCAAAAGUGCCAAAAGGGCAAGUGAAAGUGGUUUUCUCCUGAUCUUUUGGUGCUAUGGGGAUCUGAUUAUAUCCUGAGUAGCCAUCUAAAAAGCAAUAAAAUUCAUGACCUGCUAAUCUAUCAAGCAUUUGAUCAAUAAAUGGUAAAGGAAAAUGGUCUUUACGUGUGACAGAAUUCAACUUUCUAUAAUCAAUGCAUACACGCCAUUCUGUAGUUACUCUAGUUGGUAUCAAUUCAUUAUCAGCAUUCAUAACUACUGUGACUCCUGACUUUUUAGGGACAACUUGUACAGGACUGACCCAUGAACUAUCAGAAAUUGGGUAAAUGAUACCUGCGUCUAAUAGCUUAAGGACUUCAGUUCUAACAACUUCUUUCAUAUUAGGAUUUAACCGACGUUGCAUUUCCCUAGUAGAUUUAGCAUUUUCAUCGAGGUGAAUGUAAUGCAUGCAGUCUACUGGGUUUAUACCUUUCAUGUCUGCUAUAGUCCAUCCUAAUGCUCCUUUGUGCUCUUUUAAAACAUCCAACAACUUACCUUUUUGUUCGUCAUUGAGGGAUGAUGAGAUGAUUACCGGCAGAGUGCUUUCUUCUCCCAAAAAUGCAUAUUCCAGAGUGUUGGGUAAUGGUUUGAGCUCGAGUUUCGGUGGUGAUUCUGAUGAUGGGAUGAGUUUCUUCUCUGAUGGUGCUAGUUGUUCAACUCUUGACUUCCAUUUAUUAGUGUCCAUGGAUGGUGCUAAGUCAAGUAGGGCAUUGACCUCAUCGACCGAUCUGUUAAUAUUAAAAUCAAAACCAAAGUGAGUUAAACAUGUUUGUAAAGGAUCAUCACUAAGGUUUGAAAGAAAAGUGUUAUCAACUAUUGUUUCAAUUAAAUCCACAUCAAUAAUUCCAUCAUCUGCAUUGUGAGGUUGUUUGGCAAUGUUGAAGAUGUUCAGUUCCAUAGUCAUAUUGCCGAAGGACAACUGCAUAUUUCCAGUUCUGCAUUGAAUGUGAGCAUCCGCAGUUGCCAAGAAAGGUCGGCCUAGGAUAAUGGGGAUGUGCUUCCUUGAAUCCUGUAUUGGUUGAGUGUCAAUUACAAUGAAAUCAACAGGAAAAUAGAACUUGUCUACCUGGAUAAGCACGUCCUCCACAAUACCACGAGGUAUUUUUGUGGACCAAUCUGCAAGUUGUAACACCAAUGGAGUUGGGUGUAAUUCUCUCAAUCCAAGUUUCACGAAUACUGAAUAAGGCAACAGAUUUACACUAGCUCCUAAAUCCAACAAAGCAUUCUCAAUUGUGUGGUUCCCUAUACUGCAUGAGAUAGUGGGGGAGCCUGGGUUUUUGCAUUUUAAAGGAAUUUUAUGUUGGAGUAUAGAACUAACGUUUUCUGUUAAAAAUGCCUUCUUUUGAACAUGUAUAUUUCUCUUUUUAGUACAAAGGUCUUUAAGAAACUUGGCAUAAGAUGGAACUUGUUUAAUAGCAUCAAGCAAAAGGAUGUUAACACUUACCUGUUUGAAGAUUUCAAGAAUCUCACCUGUGGAUUUUCCCUUUUUUCCUUUAGCUAAUCUCUGAGGAAAUGGAGCUUUGGGAACAUAUUCCCGUGGGUUGGUUUUUUCUUUCUCCUCCGGUGAUGAGUCCUCAAGACUCACAUGUACAAUUUGAUUUUCUUUUGUCACCGACAUCUCCACUUUGUUGUCGACUUCUUUUCCUUUUCUCAAGGUCAUAACUGCUUUGACUUCUCCAUGCUGUUGUAGUGAACUGGUACUUGCUUCAUGCACUCCUUUAGGAUUAGGCACUGGUUGACUUAGAAAUUUACCUUUCCCAACAGUCAUUGCCAAGGUCUGAACUGAAGAAGCCAGUUGUCCCACCAUCUUCUCGAGGCUUGAAACUGAUUGGGCUUAUGAGUUGAAGCCCGCUCUCAAUUCAUUUCGUAGUCCAUCAAUGGUGCGGUUCUGUUGCUCAAUCGUGGAGUGAAUAACAUUCUUGAAAUUCUGGAAUGCAUCCUCCCAUGGUCUGGGUUGAGAGUAGUUCUGGUUUUGAUUGUAUGGACUAAAUGGGGGCUGAGAGGCUUAAGGAUUUUGUGGAAUUUGUUGCAUUGGUGUAGCUGGAGCUGCUGGUCCAUUCUGUUGGAAUCCUUGAGACCAUGAAAAAUUAGGGUGGUCUCUCCAUCCAGGGUUAUAUGUGUUGGAGUAUGGGUUGUAAUUUGAUGGCUUUCUCAUUACACCUAUGGCAUUGGCUUGAUCUGAGUAUAAGUCAUGGUCAUGUGGCUCUGUUGAUUUAGCAGUCGAUAACGAUGCUAUUUGUCGAGCAAGACCUUCAACCAUCUCCUUGACUUCUUUGAUUCCCGAAGUUGACUCGCCAAUUUGAACCUCAUUCACUCCUUUAAUUCUUCUAGUAUUCCGGAGUGAUCGACUCCGUUGUUGGGAAUUAUCCGCUUGUCGUUGAAAGAAUUCCCAAAUCUCUGAUGCACUUUUUGACAUUAGCUCUCCUCCACUUGUUGCCAUUAGCCAUUCCUGCACAUUCGGCAAUAAUCCCUCCAAAAAGUAUUGGCAUUGGUGCCAUUUCUCGUACCUAUGAUGUGGACACUUCAAGAGUAGCCAAUUGAAUCGUUCCCACGUUUCGAAAAACUACUCGUCUUCUCUCUGUGUAAACUCUGAAAUUUCCCUGCGAAUAGCAUUGGUUUUAUGCACUGGGAAAUAUUUAUUCAAAAAUUUUGUAACCAUUUGUUCCCAUGAUGUGAUGCUAUUAGCAGGCAAAGUAUUUAACCAUGAACGAGCUCUAUCCUUUAAAGAAAAUGAGAAUAAUCUGAGUUUAACAUCAUCGUUUGAAAAAUUUUCAUAUUUAAAAGUUUGACAAAUUGCAUGAAAAUCAUUCAGAUGAUUAUAUGGGUCCUCAUUUUCUAGGCCAUAAAAUGUUGGGAGACAAUUUAGCACACUGGGUUUUAAUUCAAAACUUCUAGCAGCUACAUUUGGGUAUCUUAUGCAUGAUGUGCUCAAAUUAGCUAAGGGACUAAAAUAGUCCUUAAAUGGCCUCUCUUGUGGUGCUUGUAAAUCCAUUCCAAUUUUAUUUUUAAUGUGCUUUUGUGUGCGAAGUAUUUUUCAAGUUCAAGGUCUAUAGGUUCAAGAUUGGGUAAUAAUGACCUUCGACCAUGCAUGCAAAACAAAUAAAAUAAAAAAUAAAGAUGGGAACAAAAUAAAUAAAAAUAAAGAAAAAGAAGAAAUUACGAUACUAACCUUAUUGCGCUAUUACAACCUUUCUAUAAAAAUACACAAAAAUAAAUACGUGAAAUAAAUUAACUAAAAAUUAAAUUAAUUAAAUAAAAAAAUUACAAAGAAAAAUAAAUUGAAAAUUAAAUCACAGAAUUUUAAAGAAGAGAAAAAGAAAAGAAAUACUAACCUUUAAAUGUAGAUUCACUUUUUUUUUCUUUUUUUUUAAUAAAAAUAAAAAAAUACAAGAAAACAAAUAAAAGAAAUUAUUCACAAAAAUUAAUUCUAUGAAUUAAAAGUACUUACCUCCCCGGCAACGGCGCCAAAAACUUAUUGUGCAAAUUUUAAUGAACUCGCAAGCACACGAAUCUAUUGUAGUAUAGACUAAUGGUGACGAGUGUCGAUCCCAUGAGGAGGUGGAUUUUAAUUAUAUAUAGAAUUAAUUUUGUAAAUGGGUGGUUGGAAUUGUGGUGGAAGUGAUUUAAAUUAUCCUAAAAUUGGAAUUGAAAUGGCGAUAAUAAAUUCUAAAAUUAGACUUGCAAUGGCGAGAAUAAAUUGAAGAGAAAUCUAUUGAAAUGACGUACUUGAGUAUCUGGAUCCGUAUCAACAUGCAUCAUGGGCUAAAUAUUCCUUAUUAAUGCCAAUUAAAUCAUGAGGGGGGAAUCCACACCUCAUGAACCACGCUCUAAUCAAUAUGGUGAUAAGGGCUUAUCGUGCCAAAUAAUAAUAACCUUGUACUAGAGGGCCGGUGAAACCAAGGCGGUACUAGACAAGAUUAGUAUUAUUUGUCGACGAGAAGUCAAAACAUCCACAAAAACUAGAGGGGAAGAGAAAAUAAAUUUACCAAAUUAAGCCCAUGACACAUGUUGAGACUUCACCUUCAACCCAAGCUUGAAAGAAAAUUAGCCACUCAUAAUUGAACUAGGGGCAAAAUGAGAAUUUAUUAAAAUACGAAGAAAAUACAAGAUAAAGAAGGAAUUACAGAAAAUAAAGUCCAAAAAUGGAUUCAGCGAUAUCAAAUUAGGAGGGGGAGGCCCCCUUUUUAUAGAUACAUGGAGUAAAUUAUGGCCAUCGGAUUAAAAACAGUUUGGACGCUCAGGAUUACGCCACGUCAUCAGUCAACAGUCCACGGUUUGACCACGUGGAUGAACAGUAAUACGGUUUGACUCGGAUGAACAGUAACGCGGUUUGACUCGGAUGAACAGUAACGCGGUUUUGUUGAAAAUAAUCCUGUGUGAUGCAUGUACCGUACGCGAGAUUUUUCGUCCACUGAUAUGCUGCCACGUCACCAUCAACAGUACAUAAGAAUUUUAGCCCAACAGGAUCGUGACACCUCAUCAGUCAAUGCCACAUCAUCGGUCAAUGCCACAUCAUCAUCCGUCUAUGUGAACAGUGUCGUGAACAGUAACGUAUAUACAGUACCGUACACGUGAAUAGUACCGUACAUGUGAUCAGUGCCAUUUUUCUUUUUAUGCUUCUCCUAAGGUUUUCGACCGUCCUGAGUUCAAAAGUGAUGUCCGUUUUGCCAUCUGAUUUCUCGUUUAUUGUGAAAUGACUAUGAUGCCCCUAAAAUACAUAAAAUACUUAAUUAAAAUAAAACACAUGUAAUUAAAUCACAAGAAAGUUAAAUACAUAAAAGUAAGGGUUGUUAAUAAGACUUGAAAUGUAAAAUGACAGUUUUCUCCUUUAUAAAUAUACAUUUUCUAACACUCAACACCUAUCCUGUAAAUACAAAAGUAAAUUUAGUAAAUUAAUGAGGAACUGUGUAUGUGUGAAAUUAAAAAUAGUGCUUUUGAUUUGUAAUCAUAUCUUUUAUAGGAUAUAUUCAUUGUCUACAUAUUUUAAUUUAUGUGUAGAAAAUUAGAUAUAUUCAAUGUCUAAUCUGAUUCUACACAAAGACUAAUGCCCCAAGAUUGUGUAGGGGUGUUCAUAAUCCAAUCCGAUCCGCUCAAUCCGUCUGAUCCGUGAAAAUCCGAUCCGUGGAUCCGUGAAUUGGAUAUGGAUUGAAAAUUUAAAAAUCCGCAGUCGAUGGAUUGGAUAUGGAUUUACUUCUAUAAAUCCGUAAAAAUCCGUGAAUCCGCAAAAUAUAUAUAUAUAUAUAUAUAUAUAUACAUUUAUUUAGUUAAAAAAUUAUUAUAAAUUUAAUUAAAGAAUAUUAUAAAUGUGACAUUACAUAGUUACAUAAGCACUAUAAUAUGUCUUAGCUAUUACCCAAUAAUAAUAUUAAAUAAUUAAAUAAUCAAAUAUACAAAUAUAACUUGUAAAAAUUGUAAAACAAAAUAAAAGCAAAGUCACACGCACUAGCAAAAACAAAGUAACAUAACGCCAAGUUACCAACAAUUUGCAAAGUCACCCAAAAGCAAAGUAACAUAACACCAAGUCACCAACAAUUUGCAAAUAAAAAACCUUAAGCUUCCUUGUUGUCACAUGCAAUAGCAACACUCAAUACUGGUUCGAUACACUCUCGACACUGAUUUGAAGGACGUCGGCCGCACGAUUCCAGCAAGAGCAAGCCAUCUUCUUCCCCGAGCCCAUCGAGCCACUUCACAAUCACUGGUUCCAGCCAAACAAUUGCACUAUCACAACCUUCAAGAUCAUCACCCGUACUUCUCCUAGUUCCAAUAGUUGACGGCUCCAUAAUCACCACUUUUCGACAAGUAUAACAGCCCUGGUGAAGGAUCAUACUGUGUUUGGUUUCAGAAACUUCACCAUUUCAAUUAAUUGUGACUUUAUUUGAAUAAUUAAUUUCGGUGUUAUAUUAAUGUAUUAUUGUAACUUUAUUUGAACAAUUAAUCUCGAUGUACUAUAUUUUGAAACUUUGAAUGUAUUAUUUUAGUUUUAUUUAAAUAAUUAAUUUGUUUAAAAUUUAUUCAAUUUUAAAUUUAAUUGGUAAUAAAAUUAUUUUUAUAUUAGAUUUUUUUUUUAAUUUCAUUAGUUCAUGGAUUGGGGAGAACUAAAAAUUUUUAAUUCGGAAGCUAAUGCGUAAAAUGGUGGAUUGGAUAUGGAUUAAGUUAAAUCCGCAUCCGAUCCGCAUACGUAUGGAUUGGAUAUGGAUUGAGUCAAAUCCGCAUCCGAUCUGCAGACGUAUGAAUUGGAUUUGGAUUGAGUUUAAUCAAUCUGUGGAUUGGAUUGGAUUGAAAAAUUAUAAUCCGCAAAAUUGUGGAUCGGAUAUGGAUUGAUGUCCAAUCCGUAAAAUCUGAUCCGCGAACAUCCCUAAGAUUGUGAUUGAAAUGCUAUAAGCAACUUAUUUUAUAAGUUUAGAUAAAAAUGAAGUUUGAUGGCUUUGUUAAAAGUUGCUUCUUUUAUAAUUUUCUCUAUUUUGACUGUAACUUUUAAAAACAGAACAAACAUUAUUUUUAUAAGCAACUUAUUAAACAAGUUGCUAUAUCUUUUUAAAUAUUCAUAUUAUAACCUUAAUAUUUUAAGAAAAGAAUAAUUAUAUCUUACUUUUCUAUAAGCUCUAAUAUAUAAAUAAAAGACAAUUUAAACUCAUGUUUAUUUUAGUCAUUAAAUAAUACAGCACAUUCAUAGUCAAAUUUACUAAACAUGAGCAAGAUACUUUUUUAAUCAUCAACUUAUUUCGUUCUCACAAUAGAAAUAACUUAUUUUAUCAUCCACUGCCAUCCUAAACUUGAUGUUAAGUCACGUUUGGGAUUGCAUUAGAUUGUCAAAUAAUCUAGAGAAAUAGCUAUUAAGGACGAAGAAUAGGAAGAGGUUCGCCAUAAGCAAUAUACUCGCAAGCUUGGCUACUAAUAAACAGAGCAUACAAGCUUAAACACCUAAUAUAUAUAUAUAUAUAUAUAUAUAGUAGUUUUUUGGCACAGGAUCUUAAAGUGCGGGAAACAUUAGGAAAAACUUUAAAACCGCGGGGUUUUAAAGGCUUAAUACUUAAAGCACUUAAACUGCACGGUUUAUGCGUUUUCCCAGACGUUCCCACACUUUAAAAUUCUAAAUUAGAAUAUUUUUAUGUGUGUGUGUGUGUGUGUGUGGAGGGCAAAUCUUUAACUACCUCCGGCUUAAAGGACCUAUACAGUAACUCUUAAAUCAAAGAGAGAAAAUAGUUAAUUCAAUCUGAUUGAAUAUGAAUUGAUAUUCACCAUAUGAUAAUUACAUAAAGAUUGAGCCUUAAGUGUUUUACAUUAAGUAAUACUGCACUGCACACUUGUUCUACACAUUUAGACAACCCAGAUUAAGAAUAAUGAAAAUGAACUCUUAAACUAGCUAGGUGCUCUAUUAUUUAUCUUUGCUCCAUAAAUAUUAGAAAGAUAGAGGAGAGGAAGAAAAAGAAAAGACUAAUUUUGCAGUCCCAAUUUAAUCUUAUGCUCUGAUUUUGAAGCAAAUCUGCAGAGUAUUUAAGGAUCCAAUCAUGAACCAUGUCCACUUCAAUCUUUCGCUGCAUUACUAACCCCUCUGGAUCAUCUUCUGUUGCUGGCUGUAUGUCUAAGCAAUGGGAACCUGCUCUAAUUUACACAUUAUUAAUUAUGUUAUCCAAUAAUUUAGUUAAUAAUUGAACACUAAUUUUUUAUUUUAUAGAAAAAUUUACAUACUGUUUCUUAUUGUCACUGCUAUUAUAUUGUCUGAUAUCUUCCAAAACCCUAUAAUCUCCCCCCCACCAAAAAAAAAGAAGAAAAAGAAUAAGGCAUAUAAUUAAACGGGUAACUUCGAUAGAAAAGAGUGUACAAAAUUUUUAAGCUUAAUUAAUUACCCAGCGCUGCUAUAGGGAUCACGAAAGCCAUUAGAGAAAAUAAGGCUGCUACCAAAUCUCUUUACAACCACUCUUAUACCCUGCAAAUUAAAAAGAAAUAAAAAUCGAACAAAAAUUGAGAUAAAAUUUAUAAUUAAAAAAGAAAAUGAAAAAAAUUAAAUUAUUAAAAGAAUUAAUUUGGGGAUUAAUUGACACUUACAUGACUACCGUAAUAAGUUGUAAUCCAAUGUGGUAUUGGAGCCACUCCAUAAGACUUAUUGCAUGAAUUCAUAUAUUCUAUCGUCUGCUUGAAAAUUGUAUUAUUUUUUUCAAUUCCAAUUGAUGAGACCAUUUCACUGCAUGUCUGCAUGAGAAAUCCCCCCCUCCCAAAACAAAAAAAAAAAUCAUAAUAAAUAAAUAACUAAAUAAAGGAGAAAACUAUUUUUAAUCAUUCAUAAAUAUGUAGUCUCAUAAAUAAAAUUAAAAGAUGUACAUAAAAUAGGUAUUGUUAGCUAGGUGAGAGAUUCAUUCAUCGCAACAUGUUGUUUGUUUGACGAUCUCAAUAGAAGUAUCUAAUGAAAUCAUGUCACCCGUAAUCACAUACCUGCCAGCCUCAGCUCGAGUCUAGUGUUUCAUCGGAUAAGAAUUCAUCAACAUCAUGGCAAGAAUUCUCCCAUCUUAAAGCAACAAUUCCUGAGAAUAUCCGGCCUAGGGUAUCCGUGCCUUCUGAAGCUCCAUGGAUACCUUCACAAGCUUUGCUCACUGGAUAUUCCUGAGGAUCAUCAUACUGAGCUGCACCCGUAUACAUACACUCUAAAUAAUCCUUCAAUUCUGAAACAUCCUUCAGAGGCUUGUAAUCAAAUAAACAACAACAACAUAGAAUUAAGUGCCACAAGGUUAGUAACAUUAUAAAAGAUCUUUCAACAAGCCGUCUAAAACAUGUUGUUAUAUUUAGUUAGAUUACAAUAAACUUUAUAAGUAUGAAGCUAUUGAUAUUAUCAAAUGCAAACGUACAAAUUUGGCCUUAUUUGAUAAUCAGAGUUGUGCGUGGUUUUGUAGUUCAAAUUUAGAUUCUGUAAGAUACGAACCUUUGGAGGCCUGAAUCUAAGCACCAGUAUACUAUAUAUAUAUGGUAAUGCAAAGGCCGUGUAUAAGCCCAAAUCCAGAUUUUUACUUUGUAUAUUACACGUUAAUCGAAAUGUAUAUAUACUCUGAGGAUGACAGAUAAUUAAUUAGACAUAGUAUAUUCGAUAAUGAUGCUACAAUAACAUUGCAUUAAUUGUAAUUAAGGGAAAAUCGGAUGGAUAUAUAUAAGCAGUUAUGUAAAGUAAUAUGAUUACUUUCUUGCAGGUUUUGAACUUUUUAGAGAGAAAAGCAAGUCCAUUUUUUCUAGCAGCGGUUUUAUCCAUUUCAGCCCAGGACUGUUUGAUGGUCAUGUAGCAGCUCUCCCUGGCUUCUUGCAUCAUUAAUUUUCAAAAUUUAAUGGAUUAAUUUUCAAAAUUUAAUGGUUAAAUUUUAACAAGAAAACACAAUCAUACAUAUAUAGAAUUUUAAUUAAUUAAUUUUAUUUCUUACCUUAAAGUCAUUGGUGACAAGAUCAUAAUAUGUGUUUGAGUGUGUGAUAUUAUCAAAAUAGAUAAUUGGGGCGGACGACGCAACUACUCCCAAAGCACUGUAAGAUGGUUAUUUUUUAAAACGUAAUUAUCUUAAAUAUAUUUAUUAUUUCUUAGUUUUACGAUUGCUGAAAGUAUUCAUUAAUUGGAAUGCAAAAUAAAUUUGUAUCAAAAUAAUAUUGGCGUAAUCAAUAUUUUGGUCAAACGAGAUCAAAAUGAAUAAAAUGAUGCAAUAAAUGACACGACAUUAAUCAAAAGAUGUAAGUAACUUAAUAAUAUUAAAAUUUACUUCCUCCAUAAGAUGCUGUCAAAUAAAGUGGCCAUUUAGAUGGUCUAAAGCAGCCAUCUAGAUGAUCAACAACAAUUUUGUUCAAAGAAGACGAAGAAUUUUGCAGCAAGUUUGAAAGAAAAAGAAGCACACGGCUUUAACAUUUGAAAGAAGAAAAAGAAGGUAAAAAAUAAUAUAGAAUUGAUGAAUAGUGCCAAAGCUUUCUCUAUAAAUAGAAACGAAGAGAAUGGGCAAAUGCAUUCCAUUUAGAAAGCAAUUUAGGGAGUUGAGAGAGAGUUCAAGAGCUUGCAUUUAUAAGUUCUUGUUACAGUGAUUGAGAGAGUUUGGGUGUAUUGGGGUUUUUGGGAAGUGAGCUAAAAUACUACAAUACUUGUAACUCUUUUUCACUAGUAAAAUAUUUCCUUCUGUCUUCGCCCGUGGAUGUAGGCUAAAAGCCGAACCACGUAAUUUUUGGUGUCCUCUAUUGUACUUGUUCUUUAUUUUCCUUCUAAUUUCAUUUUAGCUGCGGUCUUACUUCACCCUCCAAUCCUAACAGUGGUAUCAGAGCUAUUGGUUGUAUUUUUUAGAGUCAGGAACUGUUCACGUAAGGGGUACUAUUCACAUAUACGGUACUGUACACAUAUACAAUACUAUUCACGUAUACGGUACUAUUCACGUGAAACGGUGGAAGUGAUCCAAGAAUUUUGUGGUGCAAAGCAGGAAAUAGUGGUGUGAGUAAAGCAACUGUGUGAUUUUGUACAUGUCUAGGAAAGUUCUGUCACAAAGGCGAUAAGAGCUUAAGGAGUCUGGGUUUUAAGUGGGACCAUUGUGACCCCUCCAGUCUUUCCUGGGAACUUUCCUGGUGUGCAUUCUCACACAUACUCACAACUAUUCAAGGUGGUACACUAACUUGUGUGCAAUAUUUAUCAACAAAAUGGUGGCAAAGUAUGAAAUUGAGAAGUUUAACGGAAAUAAUUUUUCGUUGUGGAAAAUAAAGAUGAAAGCUGUAUUGAGGAAAAAUAAUUGUUUGGCAGCAAUUGGAGAAAGGCCCAUGGAGAUAACUGAUGACAAGUGGAACGAGGUAGACGGCAACGCCAUUUCUGAUCUACACUUGGCACUUGCGGAUGGAGUAUUAUCCAGUGUGGCAGAGAAAAAUACGGCGAAGGAAAUAUGGGAUACUCUCACAAAAUUAUACGAGGCCAAGUCACUACACAACAAAAUCUUCUUGAAAAGAAAACUCUAUACUCUUCGAAUGGCGGAAUCUACAAUGGUGACCGACCACAUCAACACAUUGAAGACUCUAUUUUGGGUCAUAAUAUAGAGGAAAAUGAGCGUGUAGAGCUUCUAUUUCAAAGUCUACCAGAUUCGUAUGAUCAACUCAUCAUCAACCUGAUGAACAACAAUCCAGUGGAGAGUCUAGUUUUCGACGAUGUUGCAGCCUCCGUAUUAAAUGAGGAGAGCAGGCGGAAAAAUAAGGAAAACAGACAAGCAAGUUCGCAGCAAGCGGAGGCGCUAUCGGUGACGAGAGGGAGAUCAACAGAACGUGGCCCCAGUAGGAGUCAAAAUUAUGGUAUAUCAAAAUCCAGAAGUAAGAAGAAUGUUAAAUGCUACAACUGUGGCAGGAAAGGGCACGUCAAGAAAGAGUGUUGGAGUAACCAGAAGAGAAGAGAUGGUAAAAAACAUGAGUCAUCAAAUGCUCAGGGGUGUGUAGCAAGUACCUCGGAUGAUGGCGAAAUACUCUACAGCGAGGCAAUAACUGUUUCAGAAGGCAGAAAACGACUAUCUGAUGUCUGGCUUAUAGACUCAGGAGCUACCUGGCACAUGACCUCUCGGAGAGAAUGGUUCCACACAUAUGAACCUAUCUCAGGAGGAUCUGUAUAUAUGGGUAAUGAUCAUGCCUUGGAGAUCGUUGGUAUUGGUACUAUCAAAAUUAAAAUGUUUGAUGGUACAAUUCGCACAAUUGGAGAGGUACGACAUGUCAAUGGCCUGAAGAAAAAUCUAUUGUCUUUGGGACAAAUGGAUAGUCAUGGGUACAAGACUCAUGUGGAGAAUGGAAUUAUGAAGAUCGUUAAAGGCGCGCUUGUAUUGAUGAAGGCAGAAAAGAUCGGUGCUAAUCUAUUCAUGCUUAAAGGAGAAACACUAUAGGAGGCUGAUGCGUGUGUCGCGUCAAAUGGAGAAGAGUCAACGAUGAUGUGGCAUCUCAAACUUGGUCACAUGUCAGAACAAGGUUUGAAGAUUCUCUCUGAGCGAAAAUUACUUCUGGGGCUCAAAUCGGUAAGUUUACCAUUUUGCGAGCAUUGUGUUACAAGUAAGCAGCAUAUAUUAAAAUUCAGUAGAUCUAUUGCUAGAAGUAAAUGCAUUCUAGACUUGAUUCAUUCUGAUGUUUGGGAAUCACCGGAUAUAUCCAUGGGAGGUGCAAAGUACAUGGUGACUUUCAUUGAUGAUUAUUCCAGAAGAUGUUGGGUGUAUCCAAUUAAGAAAAAGUCAGAUGUAUUUCUAGUGUUUAAAGAAUACAAAGCGCGGGUGGUGACACAACUUAAAAGUAAAUUUUAACUCCCAAGUAUAAGAGUGUCUUGUUGUAUUAUAACUCGGUGAGUCCGAGGUCGAUCCACAGAGAAAAGAUUUAAUUAGUUUAUUUUAUUUUAUCUAAAAAUUGAAAUUAAAACUUGAAUAUAAACAACUUAAUUUAAAUGAAACUAUGGAAUUGAACUAGUUAGGGUUAUGGAUCCACUCUUAGAAAUAAAUAAAACUUAAUAAAUUCUUUUUGCCAAUUUAUUUUAGAUUUAUUACCCAAAAGAUUAAUUAUACAAAUUAUUAUUAUUUUCCCUUUAAUUUUAUGAUGGAUUAAGUAUUUAUUGUGCCAAAAUUUAAUUUGUCUACAAUAAGGCAAAAUACCAUUUCACCAUGCCUUAUAUUAAGAUCUUAAGAAUUUAUUGUGCCAAAUUCAUUUGUUUGUCUACAAUAAAUCAAAAUUUCAAAAUAUAAAACAUGUAUAAAAUUAAAUAGAAAAUAAUUUAAUUUAUAAAAUUAAACAUAGAAUUUGAUUAAAUCAUAUUUAUUUCUUAAGAGUUUCACCUUCCCCUAACUAAUAUUAUUUAGUUAAGCAUAAUUAAAAUAAAAAGUAGUAAAAUUGAAUUACUUGUAAUUAAAAGAAAUAAAAACAACUAAAAUUGGAAAUAAAACUAAUUUUAUUAAUGAAAAUAAUUAUACAAAAUAUUAAAAACACACCUGGAAAUCAAGAUUACAAGGAGAUGGAGAGAAUUUGAGAAGAAGAGAGUUGUAGAGAGAUGAUUAAAACAUAAAAAUGAGGCCUUAUUUAUAGAAAAAUAAAUUCAUAAUCCAGUGCUUUGUGGUCCAUCAUAGGCUUCAUGCAUGUGCUCCUCACAACCCUUAGAUCAAGAUCCAAUGGCUGGUCAAACUUCAAAAGUCAACAUCACACAUGGCAUCAUUUGACUCGUCCGAUUUGCCCAAAGAACGGUUGAGAUUUGGCGGGUUAAUGGGUGGAUCGGGUCGACCCGAAUACAAAGAUUCGGAUCCUCCAACUUGCUUCACCAACCAUUGCCACGUGGCACAAUCAUGGCCAUUGAAUGAUGAACGGUUGAGAUUUAGUCAAGAUUGCCAGUUAUCCCAUGCACUCAUAUCUAUUGUAAGCUCAUUUCAUCAUCCAAUCAGUGCUCGGUCAACAGGAAAAGUCAACUUUUUUUACACAAGCCCAAUUUUAAGCCGAUCUUGACUGAUCUUAAGGUUUUCGGACCUCCGGAAUCCAAAUUUGACCUCCGUUUAUUUGUUUGGAGCCUCGAAGUACGUGAAAUUAAUAAUUUUCCUAAUAAACACAUAAAAAUACACAAAAUUAAAUAUAUUUAAAACAUAAUUAAUAAUUCAUAAUAUAUUACAUAAACACAAAUAUAAAUUAUAACAUAAGCAUAAAAUAACAUAUUAUCGCUUGAUAACUAAACAAUUUUUAAUACUAAUCACACCCCCCAACCAGCUUAUUGCUAGCCCUCUAGCAAUUAAAGCGUUAUAUUAAGAUUUAUAAAAUUCACAUGCAAGUUAAUAGUUGUUCAUCUAUCCUCUAAAUUACCAAAUAAAUGAACUCUCCCAAAUUCCUUUACCACAUUGAUGUUCACUCAUUAUCCAGAAUAUCAUCAAACCUUCUUUUGUGCUCAAGUAAUUAACACAAUACUUAUGGGGCUUCAUUAAAAGAAAAACAACAUUUUCGUUCUAAAAUUCAUUAGAAAUUAUAUCUUUAGGCAAUAGAUUAUUCACACAUUUUUUUUUUAUAUUACAUUUCUAACCCGUUUAGCAAGCUUUAGGUCAGUGACUCCCAGACCAGUUGGCCUUAGGGCACUAGGUGUUGAAGCACCCCUACGGACUUAAUUACUCGGGUUUCUAAUAAACAAACAAUAUAUCUAUUACCCAUGUAGCGAGCUUUAGGCCAGUGACUCCCAGACCAGUUGACCUUAGGGCACUAGGUGUUGAAGCACCCCUACGGACUUAAUUACUCGGGUUUCUAGAUAUAACAAAAUUAAAAACAUUUUUUCUUCUUCUUUUUUUUUGAUUUUUUUUUUUUGGUUUUUUUGUUUUUUUGUUUUUGGAAAUAUACACUUUCUACUACCUUAGAUACUAUUCCUAAUAAAUCAAAAGAACUAAAUGCUGUAAAACUUUAACUUACAACCCACUAGUAUGUGUCAUAGUGUGUGUGUGAAGAAUGAUUCAAUAAUACCUGUUAAAUGAGUAAACAAUUAAAUAACUUAAUAACCAAGUGGAGAGUUCACAAAUUUGAGUAAUUCAAAGAAAAGGGAACAAAAACAACUUACUAUGAAUCUCAAAAUCAAAAUAUAAUACAACAAGACUAUUAGGAUGCGUCUCAAAAGUCGUGACUCUUUACACGGCCAUCCUAGACAAAAAACAAAUUUUUUUUUUUUUGGUUUUUUUUUUAACAAAGAAAAGAAAAGAGAAAAGAGAAAAACAACACACAUAUUUAAAAUAUACGUCAAUUAUCCCCACCCCACAACCUAAUCUAAACAUUAUCUUAACAUUUUAUAAUUUUACAGAUAUGCAAAAAAAUAAAAAUAAAAGAGAAUAAUAAAAGAAGAAGAAGAAGAGAUCUCACCUGAACUUGAUGCAGAAGCUUAAAAGCAAAUAACAAAGAUGAAGAAAGAGUCAAUUUUUUUUUUUAACAACACCCUUAAGAUUAAGAAGAUGCGUUUCUAGAGAGACUACAUUCUCUAUAUCCUGCCAUCUUCGACUCAAAUUUGUCCUAAGUUAGUCUUUACAGAAAAAAAAAUUUUUUUUUUUUUUGUUUUUUGUUUUUUUUUUUUUUUGUAAACACAUAACCAGGACUAAGACAUUCCACAAUUAUCAACUAUUCCCUCCCCCCAACCUGAAAAAGACAUUGUCCUCAAUGUUUUAAAAGGAAAGAGAAAGAGUGUAGAAGACAUCACAUGAACACUACAACAGAAAAUAUUUACAAACGGAGAGUUAAAUCUAAAUCGCACUUCUUAUUAUUGCUACUGUUACCGUUACCGUCAUUAGUCGACCAAUUCAGUGCAACAGUCUGUGGAUCUGGCUCUGGUGUAUAAGCUUGCAAAAGAUCAAGUAACUCAUUAGCAGUAGAAGCAGAGAUAAAUAGUUUUUUUACAGAAUGUGGAACAAAAUGAUUCUUUAUUGCAUGAUUAAUAAAAGUUAGCAAGCCGUCAUAAAAAUCAUUAACAUUUAACAAACCGAUGGGUUUUUGAUGAAUGUUCAAGUGGGCCCAAGAUGCAAAUGUAAUUAGUGCCUCAAAAGUUGCAAGAUCUCCUGGCAAGAAAAUAAAAGCAUCAGCAUGAUUCAUCAUUUCAGAUAUUCUCUCUUGCAUACUUGAUACCACUAAUUCUUCUCCAAUUGGUGGGCCAGACAUGCACACUAGCGGUUUCAUGGGUUUUGGGAUAAUGCCGAGUACUUGGCUUCCUCUGGUAAAAACAGCUUCUGAGACAAGUCUUGAUAACCCUCGUUCACCUCCUCCAUAUACAAGAUGCAGUUUCCUCUCUGCUAUGACACGACCAAGAUCUACAGCUGCCUGAACGAACUCUUUGUACUUUCCAUAGUGAAACCCAGAAAGCACACAAAUGUUUUUGAAUUGUUUACUCGAAGAUGAUGCCAUUGGACUAAUUUUUCAAAAACAAGUUGUGAGUGUUUGAAAAAUGAGCUCAUAUUUAAAGAUCUUGGUAACAUAAAUAAUGAGAAACAGCUGUAAAUGGGUUGGCAAUAUUUGUCAAAUGACGAGUAAAACUCGUGGCUCAAUAAUUCAAAAACAAACAGUAAAAAGAAAGUAAUGAUUAGAAAAAGCAAACAGUAAAAGAAAACCAAAUAUUUAUUAAAUACAAAAUCACAUCGCUAAAUGCAAUAAUGCAAAUGAUAAAAUAACAGUAAAGUAAAAUAACAGUGAAGUGAAAGGAUAUUUACUGGUAGUUGUGAUUGUGGCUCACAUCUUCCUCUGGUUUUACGUCCAGUAACGGCUUGAACGCCCUCUAUGGGUCGAGGAUCGGCUUCCCAUCCAGUUUUCUUAUAAACUGGCAAACAGGGUCUUUUUGAGUCAGAUUCCCAAGACUUAACUGUGCACUUUGUUUUUGGAAUAGUAUCCACAAAUUGUAAAUCUCACGUUGCACAAUUCCGCUUCGAUGCGUCUCAAGAGAUCGUAAGAUAUCAUCCAACGAUUCUUUACUCAUGCCAUCUUUAACGAAUUUAAUUUUAUCUUCACGAGUAUCAGAAACCAUUCCUAAAGAUUUACAAUCUGGUCGUUUGCAACCAAGUCUCACACAGUUAUGACAUUUUGAGCCAAGUCGUUUAGCUCUCCUUUUCUUAGCAAACGUACUUUUACCAAAACCAGGCAUGUAAGAAACAAAUUGACCAGAAAACUCACCUGCUAAUCGGACCUUUGCUUCAAUUAACCAACGAAUGUCAGAAGGAAUGCCAUUGAUCAUUAACAAACGCAGUCGUUCACAACGAGCUUUGUAAAUUUUCCUGAGGGCAUUCUGAGGGAGAGAGGGAAAAUGCUUAUGGAGUUUAUGUUGUAUUUCUUCCAUGUAUGAUUUUGGGGUUUCAGUUAUUGUGGGAAACUGAAGAUACCGACUUAAGAAGUCACGGAGUACCGUUAUCCGCCAUUUAUACGGGAAAAUAGAUCAAAACACACCAAAAUCAAAUCUGCAAAAUCAAAUCAAGCGUGAAAGCGAGUAAAAAGAAGCACACAAUAUAAAAGGAAAAUGAACUUACAUUCGUCCUCUCAUUGAGUUAACCUCAAGCUCCAUUUGAAAUUCAUAUAUGCCACUCUCUACUGUUCUGAGUUGUCCCUCUAGAUCCUCAACAUAGGACACGAAUUCUGGUGGUUGCAGAUCCCAAAGUGGAUGUGAUUUACAGCUUUGUAUCAGGCCUCUUAAGUGAAAUUUUAUACGCCGAAAUCUUUUAAGAUGUGCGAACAGGUAUUUUCUCAUUGAGGUGCUCAUGAUGUAAAAUGAAAAUUGAUGAGAGAAUGUACAACUGUCAAACAAACACGCUUACACAAGAAAAACAAUGUUAAAAAAAAAACUAUGUACAGUGCAUCAAUCUAAGGAAAAAAAAAAGUCAAACAAUGAAACGGUAAAAUAAUAGUAAAACAAAAAAAAAUCAUUAAAAACUUAAUCAAGAAUUGGUGGGUCAUCCAAAUUAAUUUCGGUGUCCUCGUCACGUGGGUGAUGUUCCAGAUAUGGUUUUAAUCUUUGACCAUUAACUUUAAAUGUGACACCAUUAUUUGGAUUCUCAAUUUCUAUGGCCCCAUAUGAAUAUACAUUUUUUACAACAAAUGGGCCACUCCAUUUUGACUUUAACUUUCCUGGAAAUAAAUGAAGACGAGAAUUAUAAAGCAACACUUUUUGACCAAUCUCAAAUGUUUUUCGAAAAAUUCUUUUAUCAUGAAAUGCUUUUGUUCUUGCCUUAAUAAUUCUUGAAUUUUCAUAUGCAUCAUUCCUUAAUUCCUCAAGUUCAUUCAAUUGCAAUUUUCGCACAUUACCAACAUCAACCAAAUUUGAAUUAAAAGCUUUAAUAGCCCAAAGUGAUUUAUGUUCAAGUUCAACAGGUAAAUGACAAGGUUUACCAUAAAUUAACCGAUAGGGUGACAUUCCUAAUGAUGUUUUAAAUGCAGUGCGGUAAGCCCAAAGUGCAUCAUUAAGUCUAAGAGACCAAUCUUUUCGGUUUGGGUUAACCGUUUUUUCCAAAAUUUGUUUUAUCUCCCUAUUUGCUAAUUCAACUUGACCAUUUGUUUGAGGAUGAUAAGGGGUAGCAAUUUUAUGUGUAAUUCCAUAUUUCUUCAUUAAAGACUCAAAUGACUUAUUACAAAAAUGCUUACCUCCAUCACUGAUAAUGGCUCGAGGGAUUCCAAAUCGACUUAAAAUGUUUUCUCUUAAAAAUUUAAUCACAGUUUUACUGUCAUUAUUUCGACAAGAAAUUACUUCAAUCCAUUUUGAGACAUAAUCAACUGCAACUAAUAUAUACACAAAUCCAAAAGAUGAUGGAAAUGGACCCAUGAAAUCAAUUCCCCAACAGUCAAAUAUUUCAAUUUCAAGUAUGGGAUUUAAGGGUAUCAUGUUUCUUUUUGUAAUUGAUCCCAAUUUUUGACAUUUUUCACAACUUUUGCAAAAUUCAUAUGUGUCUUUAAACAUGGUAGGCCAAUAAAAUCCACACUGCAAAAUUUUAGCAGUAGUUUUUCUUGAAGAAAAGUGACCACCACAUGCUUCAGAAUGACAAAAAUUAAUGACACUACUUACCUCAUUAUCAGGAAUACAUCGCCGAAAAAUUUGAUCUGGGCAAUAUUUGAACAAAUAAGGAUCAUCCCAAUAAAAUUUCUUUACUUCAACAAAAAAUUUCUUCUUCUCUUGAGCAUUCCAUUGCAAAGGCAUUUUACCUGUAACAAGAAAAUUAACAAUAUUAGCAUACCAUGGCAUUGAAGUAACAGAAAAUAAAAAUUCAUCAGGGAAAGAAUCAUUUAUGGGUGUUAUAUCAUUGCAGAAUUCGGAUGUGAGUCUUGAUAGAUGAUCAGCAACAACAUUUUCAGCACCCUUUUUAUCUUUGAUGGUAAGGUCAAAUUCUUGUAGUAACAAAAUCCAACGAAUUAAUCUCGGUUUGGCAUCCUGUUUACUCAUCAAAUAUCUCACAGCAGCAUGGUCAGUAAACACAAUAGAUUUAGAGCCAAGCAAAUAUGAACGGAAUUUGUUUAAUGCAAAUACCACAGCAAGUAAUUCUUUUUCAGUUGUAGAAUAAUUCAUUUGAGCACUAUCCAAAGUCUUGCUCGCAUAAUAAAUCACAAAAGGCUUACCAUCCCUUCUUUGUCCUAAAAUAGCACCAACAGCAAAAUCACUUGCAUCACACAUUAAUUCAAAUGGCAAAGACCAAUCAGGAGAUUGCAUAAUAGGUGCAGAUGUUAAAAGACAAAUUAUUUUUUCAAAAGAUUUUUGGCAAUCAUCAUUCCAUUCAAACGGUGCAUCUUUUAAUAAGAGGUUACAAAGUGGUUUAGAUAUGGCACUAAAGUUUUUUAUAAACCUCCUAUAAAAUCCUGCAUGUCCUAAAAAGGAUCGCACAUCUCUAACUGUUUUUGGUUGUGGCAAUUUAGAUAUGACUUCGAUUUUUGCUUUGUCAACUUCAAUUCCUUUAAUAGAAACAACAUGACCCAAAACAAUUCCAGAAGUAACCAUGUAGUGACAUUUUUCCCAAUUCAACACGAGUUCUUUUUCAACACAUCUUUUUAAAACUUUCUCCAAAUUAUCAAGGCAAUCAUCAAAAGAAUUCCCAAACACAGUCAAAUCAUCCAUAAAGACCUCUAAACAAUGUUCAACCAUAUCACAAAAAAUGCUUAACAUACAUCUUUGAAAUGUUGCAGGAGCAUUACAAAGCCCGAAUGGCAUUCUUUUAAAUGCAAAUGUUCCAAAAGGACAUGUGAAUGUGGUCUUUUCUUGGUCCUCAAGUGCUAUAGGAAUUUGAUAAUAACCUGAAUAUCCAUCUAAAAAACAGUAGUAGGGAUGUCCUGCUACUCUUUCUAAGAUUUGGUCAAGGAAUGGUAAUGGAAAAUGAUCUUUUCUAGUGGCUUCAUUUAAUUUUCUAUAAUCAAUGCACAUGCGCCAACUAGAUGUAAUUCGUGUUGGAAUUAAUUCUCCUUUUUCAUUUUUAACAACAGUGAUUCCAGAUUUUUUUGGCACUACUUGUGUAGGACUUACCCACUUACUAUCAGAAAUAGGGUAGAUAAUUCCCACAUCAAGUAAUUUAAGGACUUCUGUUUUGACUACCUCUUUCAUGUGUGGGUUUAAUCUUCUUUGAGGUUGUUGACAUAUUUUAGCAUUUUCUUCCAAAUUAAUUCUAUGUGUGCAGAUUAAGGGAUUAAUGCCUUUAAUGUCAUUUAAAGUCCAUCCUAUUGCAUUUUUAUGCUUUUUAAGAACAGUUAGUAACUUACCUUCUUGGUCGCUUGUUAAAGUAGAAGAAAUCACAACAGGAUAAGUUUGUUCUUCUCCAAGAAAAGCAUAUUUCAAUCCUUCAGGCAAAGGUUUCAAUUCCAUUUUAGGUGCUUCUUGUUGUUCUGUCUUUUCAAUACUUCCAAGCUCCUCAAAUUUUGGCUCGUCAUCAUAAUUUUGCGAAGUCUGCAUAGAAUCAAGCAACGAAUUUAUAUUAGAAAUAUCAAGUUUAAGUUGCUUAUUUGACUCAAUUGAAUUAACUAAACAAACAUUAGAAAGUUCAGAAAAAUCCCCUUUUUGAAUAUUUUCCUCGAUACAAGAUUCAAACAAUUCCUUUUGUUCAUCAAUAUCAUCUUCAUUCUCAUUUUCUUCAUUAGGUUGCCUGCACAUGUUGAAAACAUUCAAUUCCAAAGUCAUAUUCCCAAAGGAUAAAUUCAUUAAACCAUUCCUACAAUUAAUCAAAGCAUUAGCAGUUGCUAAAAAUGGUCGACCUAAAAUUACAGGAAUUGGUUUGUAAUUAUUCACAACAGGUUCAGUUUCCAAGACAAUAAAAUCCACAGGAUAAAUAAAUUUAUCAACUUGUACUAAAACAUCUUCCACUAUUCCUUUUGGUACUUUAACGGAUCUAUCGGCAAGCAAAAGUGUAGUUGAAGUUGAUUUUAACUCACCAAGAUUAAGUUGAAGAUAAACUGAAUAUGGAAGCAAAUUAACACUAGCACCAAGAUCUAGUAAAGCAUGCUCAAUUCUGUGGUUACCAAUAAUACAAGAAAUGGUAGGACAACCAGGAUCUUUAUAUUUCAACUUAUUAUUAGUAGACAGAAUUGUACUUACCUGUUCGGCCAUGAAAGCACUCUUUCUUACCUUCAAUUUCCUCUUAACAGUGCACAAGUCCUUUAAAAAUUUGGCAUAUGAAGGAACCUGCUUGAUUGCAUCUAAUAGAGGAAUGUUAACUUUCACUUGCUUAAAGAUUUCAUAAAUUUCAGAAGAGUGGUUUGAUUUCUUUGGUUUAUUCAAUGCAUGCGGAAAUGGUGGUUCAAGUGGAACACUAGUUAUUUCUUCACUAGGUGUAAGUUCAUUUAGUCAUUCCUUACCCUUUGAAUUUUCAUAAGGUUCAGGCAUAGGUCUAUCAACAACCUUACCACUACGAAGAGUUAUAACUGACUUGACUUGGUCUGUGGGUGAAUUUUGUUGAAUUUUAGGAUUUGGUUGUGGUUGGGCUGGAAAUUUUCCUUUUUCUUGAAUGGUGAGUGCAGAAGCAAUUUUAGCAAGAGUAUCUUUCAAAUAAAAAAAAGUUUGUGCAUUUUGAUUGUUAAUAACAUCUUGCUUUCUGAUGAAUGAAUGCAUUGUGUCCUCCAGAUUUUUCCAAGGUGGUGGAACAUAUGGUGCAUAAGGAUGAGGAUUUUGAAAAUUUUGUGGAGGUGGUGCUUGUGAAGAUUGUGCAUUAUUAUUAUUCCUCCAACUGAAAUUCGGAUGAUUUUUCCAACCAGGAUUAUAAGUCUGUGAAUAUGGGUUUGGUUUAUUGAAAGUGUUAAUGACAUUAGCUUGAUCAUUUAGACAUUCUUUAAGUGCAGGCAAAGUGGGACACUCUUGAGUGAAAUGAUCAUUCGAAUUACAUAUGUUACAUGCAAUUUCUUGAACAGAUUUUACUUGAUCACUCUUUUUAUGCUCCAAAGCUUCAACUUUCCUAACUAGGGAUGCAAAUUUUGCUUGUAAAUCAUGAUCUUCCCUAAGGUUAUGGAUUCCUCCACUAGAUGGAGAUGAUUGUUGCUUAUUUGUCAAUUCAAAAGUUCCAACAGUAUCCCAAUGUUGUGCAUUUUCAGCUAAUUGGUCAAGGUAAUCUAGUGCAUCUUCAGGAUUUUUAUCCCUAAAUUCACCAUUACACAUCAUUUCAACAACCUGUCUACUUUGGGGUAUUAAGCCUUCGUAGAAAUAAGUGACCAAUCGCCAAGUUUCAAAACCAUGAUGUGGGCAUAUGUUAAGCAACUCUUUAAACCUAUCCCAACAUUGGUAUAAUGUUUCUCCAUUUUUUUGAGUGAAAGAAGUGAUUUGCCUUUUAAAAGAAUUUGUUCUAUGAGGUGGAAAGAAUUUUUUCAAAAACUGUUCUUGCAUGUUAUUCCAAGUUCUUACUGAUCCAGAUCUAAGGUUUUGUAGCCAAGUUUUAGCUUUAUCUUUUAAUGAAAAAGGAAAAAGCUUUAAUCUAAUUAUGUUCAUGCUACAAUUUUGGUCCGUGUAUGUAUUACAAACUUCCUCAAAAUCUCUUAGAUGCAAGUACGGAUUCUCAGAUUCUAAACCAUGAAAUGUUGGUAAAAGUUGGAUAAUACCUGGUUUAAAAUUGAAUCGAGAUGCUUCUGGAUGCUCCGGUUCUGGUUGGAUUCAUGUAGUCUCUCAGAGUCCUUGGUUGAUUCUGAUCGUGCCCAUGUUGAGAUUGGUUGUCUCCCUGAUCAAUUUGAGGAUUAAGUUCGCCCAAAACAUUUUCGCCUUCAUUCUCAUCCAUGAUUGGUGGUGGAGAUUGAGAUCUACGAAUUAACCUGCCACUUGAAGAUCGAGACCAACGUCUCAUGCAAGGGUUAUGUUAUAAAGAUAAUAUUUACACAAAUUGAUAAUAAAAUAAAAUAAAAAAUUAAAUAUGCAAAUAAUAUAAGUGUACAAAAGAAAAUUAAAUAACAAUUUUGGUGGUUGAACCCACCAGUUAACAAUAUAAAAUAAAUGCAAAAGAAAGAAAAAGAAAAAAUGGUAGUUAAACCCACCAAUAAAGCAAAAAAAUAAAAUAAAAUAAAAUAAACGCAAAAUAAUAAAAUAAAUAAAUAAAAUGGUGGUUGAACCCACCAAUAAAAAAAAUAAAGCAAAAAAAAAUACAAAAUUAAAUAAAUACUGAAAAUAAAAAUUAGGAGUUAGUAGUUAGUUUGGUGGUUGAACCCACCAAUAAAGCAAAAAUAAAUAAAUACGAAAUUAAAUAAAUGCAGAAAAUUAAAUAACUGAAAUUAAAAAAGUUAGCAGUUAGCAGUUAGUAAGUUAAGAGUCAGUAAUUAGAGUUAGUAGUUAAAGUUAGUUUAGUCCAAAAUAUGUUAGUUUAGUCCAAAAUAUGUCCAAAUAUGUUCAAAAUAUGUCCAAAUAUGUCCAAAAUAUGUCCAAAGUAUGUCCAAGUCUUAAUUAUUUUGAGGAAUUUCGUCUAGGGAUUCUAUUGCAAAUUAUUUUUAAUUUUAUGGUCAAACUGUAAUUUUUAGAAGUUUAGAAUUAGUAAUUUGGGAUGAAAGUGAAACAGUUGAAAGAUAUCGGGGUCCGAACGUAAUUACCAGAAGAUUGGGCUGGAAACGGAAAUUGUUGGGGUGAAACUAGAAUUAUGAAAGAUAUGGGGACAAAAGAGAAUUUAAGAAAAGAAAAAGGGGGUAAACGAAAUUUUACAUAUAAGAGAAAAAUAAAAAACGGAAAAACAAACCAAAUAAAAAAAACUUUUCCCCGGCAACGGCGCCAAAAACUUGACACAUCUUAAAAGUAAUUUUUAACUCUCAAGUAUAAGAGUGUCUUGUUGUAUUAUAACUCGGUGAGUCCGAGGUCGAUCCACAGAGAAAAGAUUUAAUUAGUUUAUUUUAUUUUAUCUAAAAAUUGAAAUUAAAACUUGAAUAUAAACAACUUAAUUUAAAUGAAACUAUGGAAUUGAACUAGUUAAGGUUAUGGAUCCACUCUUAGAAAUAAAUAAAACUUAAUAAAUUCUUUUUGCCAAUUUGUUUUAGAUUUAUUACCCAAAAGAUUAAUUAUACAAAUUAUUAUUAUUUUCCCUUUAAUUUUAUGAUGGAUUAAGUAUUUAUUGUGCCAAAAUUUAAUUUGUCUACAAUAAGGCAAAAUACCAUUUCACCAUGCCUUAUAUUAAGAUCUUAAGAAUUUAUUGUGCCAAAUUCAUUUGUUUGUCUACAAUAAAUCAAAAUUUCAAAAUAUAAAACAUGUAUAAAAUUAAAUAGAAAAUAAUUUAAUUUAUAAAAUUAAACAUAGAAUUUGAUUAAAUCAUAUUUAUUUCUUAAGAGUUUCACCUUCCCCUAACUAAUAUUAUUUAGUUAAGCAUAAUUAAAAUAAAAAGUAGUAAAAUUGAAUUACUUGUAAUUAAAAGAAAUAAAAACAACUAAAAUUGGAAAUAAAACUAAUUUUAUUAAUGAAAAUAAUUAUACAAAAUAUUAAAAACACACCUGGAAAUCAAGAUUACAAGGAGAUGGAGAGAAUUUGAGAAUAAGAGAGUUGUAGAGAGAUGAUUAAAACAUAAAAAUGAGGCCUUAUUUAUAGAAAAAUAAAUUCAUAAUCCAGUGCUUUGUGGUCCAUCAUAGGCUUCAUGCAUGUGCUCCUCACAACCCUUAGAUCAAGAUCCAAUGGCUGGUCAAACUUCAAAAGUCAACAUCACACAUGGCAUCAUUUGACUCGUCCGAUUUGCCCAAAGAACGGUUGAGAUUUGGCGGGUUAAUGGGUGGAUCGGGUCGACCCGAAUACAAAGAUUCGGAUCCUCCAACUUGCUUCACCAACCAUUGCCACGUGGCACAAUCAUGGCCAUUGAAUGAUGAACGGUUGAGAUUUAGUCAAGAUUGCCAGUUAUCCCAUGCACUCAUAUCUAUUGUAAGCUCAUUUCAUCAUCCAAUCAGUGCUCGGUCAACAGGAAAAGUCAAUUUUUUUUACACAAGCCCAAUUUUAAGCCGAUCUUGACUGAUCUUAAGGUUUUCGAACCUCCGGAAUCCAAAUUUGACCUCCGUUUAUUUGUUUGGAGCCUCGAAGUACGUGAAAUUAAUAAUUUUCCUAAUAAACACAUAAAAAUACACAAAAUUAAAUAUAUUUAAAACAUAAUUAAUAAUUCAUAAUAUAUUACAUAAACACAAAUAUAAAUUAUAACAUAAGCAUAAAAUAACAUAUUAUCGCUUGAUAACUAAACAAUUUUUAAUACUAAUCAGGUGGAACUUGAAUCUGGUAAAAAGAUCAAGUGUUUGAGGACAGAUAAUGGUGGAGAGUAUACAAACGGCGAGUUUCUUGCUUUCUGUAAGCAAGAAGGUAUUCAGAGGCAGUUCACAGUGGCAUACACUCCUCAACAAAAUGGAGUGGCAGAGCGGAUGAAUAGAACUCUUACAGAACGGAUAAGAGCUAUGUUAAUGACUGCUGGUCUACCCAAUUCAUUUUGCGCAGAAGCAGCCAAAACUGGCUGUUAUAUAGUAAAUCGAUCGCCAUCUAUAGCUAUUGGGCUGAAGACAGUGAUGGAGAUGUGGACUGGAAAGCCAGCUAAUUAUUCCUACCUACAUGCAUUUGGAUGUCCUGUGUAUGUGAUGUACAAUGCCCAAGAAAGAACAAAGCUGGAUCCAAAAUCUAGAAGAUGUAUCUUCUUGGGGUAUGCUGAUGGAGUAAAAGGGUAUCGUCUGUGGGACCCCACUGCCCACAAGAUCGUCAUCAGAAGAGAUGUUAUCUUUAUAGAAGAUCAACUGCAAAUGAGAGAUGAGGAUGAUGGCACUGCAAAAGAAAAGUCAAAGAUUGUGCCGGUAUAUGUCGAAAAUAAUCUAAAAAAUUUAUAUUCUUCUGAAGCAGUACCAGAGCACGAGGAACAAGAACCAGUCGAGUCCGAGGCUCCAGAAGUUCGUUGGUCAAUGUGGCACUCGGAGUAUGUCACAGAAAUCAAUGUUGUAUACUGUCUUCUAACAGAGGAUGGAGAGCCUUCAACUUUCCAUGAAGCUUUAAACAGCUCAGAUGUUGCUUUGUGGAUGACAGCAAUGUAGGAAGAAAUUGAAGCUCUACACAAGAACAAGACAUGGGAACUUGUACCACUACCACGUUGUAGAAAAGCCAUUGGAAACAAAUGGGUCUACAAGAUCAAACGUGAUGGCAAUGACCAAAUGGAGCGGUAUCGUGCAAAAUUGGUGGUGAAAGGAUAUGCUCAGAAAGAAGGUAUUGAUUUCAACGAGAUAUUUUCGCCGGUGGUUUGACUCACAACAGUCAGAGUAGUCUUGGCGAUGUGUGCUACAUUUGACUUACAUCUUGAGCAGUUAGAUGUGAAAACUGCAUUUCUUCAUGGAAAACUUGAAGAAGAAAUAUAUAUGCUCCAACCAAAAGGUUUUGCAGAAACAGGAAAAGAGAACUUGGUCUGCAGGUUGAAUAAAUCUCUAUACGGUCUCAAACAGGCGUCGAGGUGUUGGUAUAAGAGAUUUGAUUCCUUCAUUAUGAGCCUUGGAUACAACAGACUCAAUUCAGACCAUUGUGCAUAUUACAAGAGGUUUGAAGAUAGUGAUUUCAUCAUUUUGCUGUUGUAUGUGGAUGAUAUGUUGGUAGCAGGUCCCAACAAAGAUCGAGUCCAAGAAUUGAAGGCACAGUUGGCUAGGGAGUUUGAAAUGAAGGACUUGGGACCAGCAAACAAGAUUCUAGGGAUGUAAAUUCACCGAGACAGAAAUAACAGGAAGAUUUGGCUUUCUUAGAAGAAUUACUUGAAGAAAAUCUUACGACGCUUCAACAUGCAAGAUUGUAAGUCAAUUUCUACCCUACUUCCUAUUAAUUUCAAAUUAUCCUCAAGUAUGUGUCCAAGCAAUGAAGCAGAGAGGAAGGAAAUGUCUCGAGUACCGUAUGCAUCAGCAGUGGGAAGUUUGAUGUUCGCUAUGAUAUGUACUAGACCGGACAUUGCACAAGUAGUGGGAGCAGUCAGUCGAUACAUGGCGAAUCCUGGUGGAGAGCAUUGGAUAGCUGUGAAGAGGAUUCUAAGAUACAUUAGAGGAACCUCAGAUGUUGCAUUAUGUUAUGGAGGAUCAGAGUUUACUGUCAGGGGCUAUAUGGAUUCAGAUUUUGCAAGAGACCUUGAUAAAAGGAAAUCCACUACUGGUUAUGUGUUUACACUUGCGGGAGCAGCUGUAAGUUGGGUUUCGAAACUGCAGACCGUUGUGGCUUUAUCUACAACAGAAGCAGAAUACAUGGCAGCUACACAAGCUUGCAAGGAAGCUAUUUGGAUACAAAGAUUAUUGGAGGAGCUAGGGCACAAACAACAGAAAAUUCCUGUGUUUUGUGACAGUCAGAGUGCCUUGUACAUUGCAAGGAAUCCAGCCUUUCAUUCCAGGACAAAGCACAUAGGAGUUCAGUAUCACUUCGUUCGUGAAGUAGUGGAAGAUAGAAGUGUGGAUUUGCAGAAAAUCCAUACCAAAGAGAACCUAGCAGAUGUUUUGACCAAGCCGAUAAAUACUGAUAAGUUUGUCUGGAGUAGAACCUCUUGUGGCUUAGCAGAAACGUAGGCAACAUGAUUAUGGCGAAGCAGAAAGGAUGGUGUGGAGAUUGAUUGAUUCUCAAUCUAAUCUCCAAGUGGGAGAAAUGUCAAAUAAAGUGGCCAUCUAGAUGAUCUAAAGCUGCCAUCUAGAUGGUCAGCAACAAUUUUGUUCAAAGAAGACGAAGAAUUUUGCAGCAAGUUUGAAAGAAAAAGAAGCACACGGCUUUGACAUUUGAAAGAAGAAAAAGAAGGUAAAAAAUAAUAUAGAAUUGAUUAAUAGUGCCAAAGCUUUCUCUAUAAAUAGAAACGAAGAGAAUAAGCAAAUGCAUUCCAUUCAGAAAGCAAUUUAGGGAGUUGAGAGAGAGUUCAAGAGCUUGCAUUUAUAAGCUCUUGUUACAGUGAUUGAGAGAGUUUGGGUGUAUUGGGGUUUUUGGGAAGUGAGCUAAAAUACUACAAUACUUAUAACUCCUUUUCACUAGUAAAAUAUUUCCUUCUGUCUUCGCCCGUGGAUGUAGGCUAAAAGCCGAACCACGUAAUUUCUGGUGUCCUCUAUUGUGCUUGUUCUUUAUUUUCCUUCUAAUUUCAUUUUAGCUGCGGUCUUGCUUCAUCCACCAAAUUUCCUAACAGAUGCUCCAACAACGAUAAUAGGAGACAUUUCGGCUGAUAAAUUUUCCUUAAUGUGUAAGAGAAUCUUUGCAUAAUCUGCCAAAGCUUGACCAGAGUUGAAAUAUCCACGAAGAGUUGCAUUCUUUAGGGCAUCUUUGCGUGAUAUAAAAGGUACUGAUUUUCUAUAGAACCGAUGCUGCAUAAAAAAUCGAAUUAAAGAAAAAAAAUCCAUCACAACUUUUCAGUUCAUAUUGUAGAAUAUUCUGAUUAAGAUUUGUCUUUAUUAUUAUUAUUUUGUAUGGGAACUCUAUUUCAAUUAUUAUCAAGCUAGCCUGAUAACAGAUUCUUUACUUACCUCUAUGUAAACUUGUAAGGCUUUAAAUCAACGAGCAUUAUCAGUAAGCCAUCCAGUGCCACCAAGGUCAUCAUCAAGACUACUCUCUUUACCAAGAUAUGCCAAUAUCGGCGCCGCCGUGGCUCCACCACCACCCCAAUGUUUGAAGUUCAACACAUAUCUAUGAGAAAAAGUUAAAUAACUUUGUGGAUUAUAGUUAAAGUGAUCAAGUAUUUGAUCAUCAUAAUAAGUUUCGAGAUCACCCUUUGGUUCUGAAGUUAAUAUUUUUUUACUAGGGUUUAGAAAAAUAGUCUUUCCACGCACAACACCAAGCUUUGGGAUGUUUUUUAAUGGUGAAGUGGAAGCAAAAGCAAAAUUUGUGAGGAGAAGAAGAAAAAAGGCAUGGAAGCCACCGACCUUCCAUGGCAAAGUUGUAAAUCCUUAAUUAGCAGGAUGAUUAUGUAAAUACAGAAGAAAUAGAAUUAAGAUUCGGUUAUAAAUUCAGCUUCAGAAUCGACGUGUUUUUUAAUCUAUUCUGGAUUUUUUAUUAUCCUAUCAUAUAAUCAUUGGUGGUUUUAGUUUUAUAUUAGUAAUGAUCUUUAGUUUUCAUAAAAUUAUGGUUUUUCUAAUAUAUAUUGUUAUCAGUUUCGUAACUAAAUACGUUGCGGUGAAAAUUAUUAAGUCUUUCCUUAGUAAUUAACUAACUUGACAUACGUAGUUCUAAUGGUUGGACACAUAUUUCUAAUUUAAUUAACUUGUAAUUAAUUAUUUGCUAGUAAUUAACUUGAUUUAGUAUGUGGUAAAUACAUAAUUUUGAUAAAAUCAGUAAAAAAAUAGUAAAUUUUCUAUCAUGUAAGUGUAAAAUUAAAGAUAUAAUUUUUUUUAAUUACAAUAGCUAAUAUUUACUUGAUACUUUAAUACUGUAACUUUUAAACUAAGCUACCCAAACAUGGUUGUAAUUUUCUAUAAUCAUGCUACCAAAGAUGUCAGGAUUCCAAUCAUUGUUUACGAGGCUACUAUAUAUGUUAAUCAUGCUAAUGCUAUAAGCCUUGGAUUGGAAGUAAUGUAAAUCCAACCGUUGGGUAACGUAGCUAGCCUAAUUACACUUUAUUAAGAGAACAAUACAAUUAACAAUAGUCUCACAUGAAAGGGUGGCAAUUCAUUAUCCGAAUUUGUGAAUUAGACACUAACACAUCAUAUCGAGAAGAUUUUUUAUGACUAUUAUGACAACUUGUUCACGUCCAACAAACCAUCCCAAAGCCAAAUGGAGAAUGCACUGAAGAUCUGCCUCGCAAAGUCACUGAAGAGAUGAAUGCCCAGCUAAAUCAGCCCUAUACAGAAGCAGACAUCACAGAAGCUUUGAGCCAAAUGCACCCUACAAAAGCCCCUGGUCCAGAUGGCCUUCCAGCUGCUUUCUUCCAAAAGCAUUGGAAAUCAGUAAGUCAAGGUGUUACUACCACAUGCUUGCAGGUCCUAAAUAACAAAGGUAACCCUACUCCACUAAAUCAUACUUACAUAGCUCUGAUUCCAAAGGCUGAAAAACCUAAGAAAAUGGCGGAUUUUAGACCGAUCAGCCUAUGUAAUGUAAUUUAUCGGAUAAUUACAAAAACCAUUGCCAAUAGGUUGAAGCUGGUUUUGAACGAUGUAAUCUCACCAGCUCAAAGUGCCUUUGUUCCAAAUAGGCUCAUAACCGAUAACAUAAUUAUUGGUUACGAAUACUUACAUAAAAUAAGGCUUAGUAUGGGGAAAAAACAUGGGCUAGUGGCUUUGAAAUUAGACAUAAGCAAAGCAUAUGACAGGGUGGAAUGGGACUUUUUGAAAUGUACCUUAGAAAAAUUGGGAUUCUCGCUUGGCUUUGUUGAAUUGAUAAUGCAAUGCAUAACUACCUCUUCAUUUUCUGUGCUGAUAAAUGGGGUGGCUAAAGGGCUGAUCCAACCUCAAAGAGGAUUAAAGCAAGGAUGCCCAUUGUCCCCAUAUCUUUUUAUUCUCUGUGCAGAGACUUUUACAAAUCUUUUACAGCAAGCAGAAUCUCAGCAACUGAUUCAUGGGAUAAAAUUCAGCAAUGAACUUUCCAUCACUCAUCUUUUGUUCGCUGAUGAUAGUUUGAUUUUUACAAGAGCCACAAGGGAGGAUUGUACAAAUUUAAAGAAGAUUUUUUAGUGUUAUGUUGCAGCCUCUGGGCAGAUUUUCAAUUUCGAGAAGUCGUCUAUGUUUUUCAGUGAGAGUACCAAGCCGUAGCAGAUUUCCUCAAUUACAACCAUCUUCCAAAUUCAGGUGGUAUCCAGGCAUGCAAAAUACUUAGGGCUGCCCUCCAUGGUGGGUAGAAAUAAGACGAGUUUUUUUAAGGAUAUCAAACUCAGAGUUCUUGGAAAGAUUUCGAGCUGGCAAGCAAAUUUGUUCUCUUGUGGGGAGAAGGAGGUGUUGAUAAAUGAUGUAGCUCAAGUGGUGCCUGCAUAUGCCAUGAGUGUGUUUAAGCUCCCCCUAGGACUUUGUGAUGACAUGCAAAAGGCAAUUGCUAGUUUUUGGUGGGGAAGCAGCCGAGAUCACAAGUCAAUCCAUUGGUCGAAAUGGAAUAAUUUGUAUCAAGCAAAGAGUAGAGGUGGGCUGGGAUUUCGAAACUUGUCCAGCUUNNNNNNNNNNNNNNNNNNNNNNNNNNNNNNNNNNNNNNNNNNNNNNNNNNNNNNNNNNNNNNNNNNNNNNNNNNNNNNNNNNNNUUUUAAAAAUUCAAGUCUGAUGCAGGCUCAGUUAGGCUCAUAUCCUUCCUUUAUAUGGAGGAGUAUUUUAUGGGGUCGAAAUGUAUUAGAAAAAGGGUUGCGCUGGAGAAUUGGAAAUGGUGAGCAGCUGCUAGUGUAUCAAAGUCAAUGGAUUCCUCGAUCUAUAACUUUUCAGCCAAUAUCCCCCCCAUCAUUGAGCCCAGAUACAAUUGUUGCAAAGCUGAUAAGUGAGGAGCAAAGCCGGAAAGAAGCUGUAAUUAGGCAACAUUUUCUAAAAGAAGAUGCUGAUCAAAUUUUGAAAAUCCCUUUGCCAAGACAACCAAAACCUGACCAAGUGUUGUGGCACUAUGAUAAGAAGGGUAAUUAUUCAGUUAAAAGCGGUUACCAAGUGGCUAUGAAAAUGAAUUUUCCUGAGAAGCCAAGCUGCUCGAGUGAGAAUGAUAAGUAUUGGCAUGCUAUUUGGUAUUUGCAACUUCCGGAAAAAGUUAAAAUCUUCAUGUGGAGGGCGGCAAAUAACUUGUUGGCAACGGCAGGAAAUCUUUGGAAGAGGACAGUGGUGCAAUUCCCUUGGUGCCAGAGAUGUAAGUUAUCAAAGGAGACUAUUUUUUCACACUCUCUAUGAAUGCAAAGCUUCAAGGAAAAUUUGGAGGCUAACCCCUUUUGGGGAGGAUAUUGAGUUUAGCAAUGGAAGAGAUGUUCUAAGCUUGCUGUAGGAUUUGAAUGGAAAAAGGAGAAAAUCUGAGAUGGAACUGAUUGUUGCUGUGUGCUGGAGCAUCUGGCACUCAAGGAAGCUUUUCCUCUUCAAAAACAAAAAAGAAGAUCCCCAGCUAUCAGUUGCAGCAGCAGAAGCAAUGGUGCAAUCUUAUAGCAGAAUCCAAAUGCCCCAAAUGCAAAGUAACUCCCAGCUGAGUACUGCUAAUCAGAAACAAUGGAAACACCCUCCAGAGGGCUGGUUCAAAGUUAAUGUUGAUGCAGCAGUAGGAGUGGAACAACAAAGAGCUGGCCUGGGAAUUGUUAUAAGGAAUUCAGGAGGAAAGUUUAUAGCUGCAGCAAUGAAGCCCUCAAAGUUUAUUGGCAAGAUUGAUUUUGCAGAAGCUGAAGCUAUCAGGCUCGGGCUGGAGAUAGCAGAAAAUGUUGGAUGCUUUCCACUAAUUGUGGAAUCUGACGCCCAGGAAGUGGUGGACUUAGUCAAUUUCAAGAAAAGCUCAAGAGCUGAAAUAUUCUGGGUUGCUUCUGAAAUGCAAGACCAAGUAAAGAGGCUGAACCAGGUGAAAGUAGAAUAUACCCCAAGAGGGUGCAAUACAUUAGCUCAUUCUCUUGCAAGACUAGCAUUAGAGCUAAAUGAUUUUGUUUUUUGGGUAGAAAAUAUACCCUCAAAUUUUUUGUACCUAUUCACACAGUUGGAUAAAUGAAAGUAAUACUUUCUCUCAAAAAAAAAAAAAAUUAUCAUGUCAAAUCUCUGUAUCCUCUUCACUAAUCAAUUCGUUUUUGCACUUUGACUUCCCCACAGGGAAUUCUUAAUUAAUUAAUUUAUUUUUUUAAAUAAGUGCAAAAUUUAUCCCGCCGAGUAUAAUCAAGGGGUGCACGUCAAGACAAAACAAGCAACAGCUGCGACAUGGUUUCAGAGUCAUAUCAUCUAUAAGCCAAACGUGUGUCUGCUCAAUUAGACACCAUAACCUCUAAAGACAAAACAAAUGCAUGCAACUUACCAUAAAAAGAUGAAUGACGAAGUCAUUAUGCAAACUAGAAGAAAUGUAAACUGAUAGGCAAUAAUUGAAAUAAGAUGCGAAAUUAUUUAUAACACAAUUAACAAUUCAACAAUCAGAUGUGUUGAUUUAUUUUCAAUCUGACUUAGACACUAUGUUAUAUUUUAUUAUGUUUUAAUAUAUAUAUAUAUAUAUAUAAAUAAUCAAAAAAUUAUAUAAAAUUCACCAUGAAAAUAAGGAAAACGAAAAAAAAAAUCGAACGGGCCCGCUGAUGGAUCACCAAUGAACGAAAAAGAGCAACUGAAACAAACGAAAUGCAAUGGCAUUUUGGGGAAUCUAUCAAAAGCUGAUACCCUUUUUGCCGAUUCCCAGCCAACCUCUAUAAAUUGCCCGCAAUUGGAAAAAUUCGACCAAAAAAAAAAACAAAUUCACUUCAAAAAGUUCACACACACUCACACACACGCGCGCGCGCGCGCGCGGAAGCCUACUUCUUCUUCUUCUUCUUCUUCUUUCAAUUCUCUGGUAAAACGCAAUAUUUUUUUGUCGUUUUUUCUUCCUGUUAAUACUUAAUGCUUGGGCGUUUUGUGUAUAAUGGAAAUGGAGUCUCGUGUCUGAUUUAUUAUCGCAGGGAACGAUGAAUUAUGCUGAUCUAAAUCGACGUAUCACCGUUAAGGUAACUAUAUAAUUUUUUAAUUUCAAAUUCAUUUCUUUCUUUUCUUUUGUUUUUUAAAAGAGUAAUAUUAGCUUCAACUGUGAUGCUGUUCAGUAGCAGUGCUGACCUUUUUAUUCAUAAAUGUCUUCAGAUAUUUCAUAAUAUGGAAUAUUCUUCUUUAUUCUGUUCUAUUUAUUUACUGGUUUUAAUGUACAUAUUGUCGAGGAGCUAAAUACGCGAGUAUAAAAAUUAACUUCAACUGAUAAUUGGUAGUCUGAUUAUGCCAUUAGUUUUAUCGAGUCCACGUUGAUUCAGUUUGUUGUUUGAUUUUUAUGUGGAACUGUUACUUGAUUAUACAUGAACAUUCACUUGUGCAAAUUUAAUAAUGCCACAUUAUUUAAUAUUUAAUUUUGAAGGCCACUUUUUUAGUUGAGGGCAGGGAACCACUACGAUUCCAUAACACGCUCAUCUAAUCACCUUGACAAUAAGACUUCUCCUAGUCGGCAAUUAUUUAGAAAUAACGUCUUGACAUAUGCUGCGGAAAUUAAAGAAUGAAGUAGACUUACGAAGUCAAGGUGUUUUUCUAGUCUACAUAUUUUAAUUUGUGUAGAAAAUUAGAAAUAUUCAAUGUAUAAUCUGAUUCUACACAAAGACUAAUGCCCCAAGAUUGUGAUUGAAAUGCUAUAAGCAGCUUAUUUUAUAAGUUUAGAUAAAAAUGAAGUUUGAUGGCUUCGUUAAAAGUUGUUUUUUUUAAUAAUUUUCUCUAUUUUGACUGUAACUUUUAAAAACAAAAUAGAGAUUAUUUUUAUAAGUAACUUAUUAAAUAAGUUGCUAUAUCUUUUUAAAUGUUCAUAUUAUAACCUUAAUAUUUUAAGAAAAGAAUAAUUAUAUCUUACUUUUCUAUAAGAUCUAAUAUAUAAAUAAAAGACAAUUUAAACGCAUGUUUAUUUUAGUCAUUAAAUAAUACAACACAUUCAUAAUCAAAUUUACUAAACGUGAGCAAGAUACUUUUUUAAUCAUCAACUUAUUUCGUCCUCACGAUAGAAAUAACUUAUUUUAUCAACCACCGCCAUCCUAAACUUGGUGCUAAGUCUCGUUUGGGAUUGCAUUAGAUUGUCAAAUAAUUAAGAGAAAUAGCUAUUAAGGAGAAGAAUAGGAAGAGGUUCGCCAGAAGCAAUAUACUCGCAAGCUUGGCUACUAAUAAACGAAGCAUACAAGCUUAAACACCUAAAAUAUAUAUAUAGAGAGUAGUUUUUUGGUACGGGAUCUUAAAGUGCGGGAAACAUUAGGAAAAUUUUUAAAACCUCGGGAUUUUAAAGGCUUAAUAAUUAAAACACUUAAACUGAACGGUUUAUGCGUUUUCCCGGACGUUCUCGUACUUUAAAAUUCUGAAUUAGAAUAUUUUUAUAUGUGUGUGUUGUUGUCCAAAUUUUAAUGUACUCGCAAGCGCACGAAUCUAUUGUUGUAUAGAUCAAUGGUGACGAGUGUCGAUCCCACGAGGAGGUGGAUUUUAAUUGUGUAGAAUUAAUUUUGUAAAUGGGUGAUUGGAUUUGUGGUGGAAAUGAUUUGGAAUAUCCUAAAACUUAAAUUAAAAUGGCGAGAAUAAAUUCUAAAAUUGGAAUUGAAAUUACGAGAAUAAAUUGAAGAGAAUUCUAUUAAAAUGACGUACUUGGGUAUCUGGAUCCGUAUCAACAUGCAUCAUGGGCUAAAUAAUCCUUAUUAAUGCCAAUUAAAUCAUGAGGGGGGAAUCCACACCUCAUGAACCACACUCUAAUCAAUAUGGUGCUAAGGGCUUAUCGUGCCAAAUAAUAAUAACCUUGUACUAGAGGGCCGGUGAAACCAAGGCGGUACUAGACAAGAUUAGUAUUAUUUGUCGACGAGAAGUCAAAACAUCCACAAAAACUAGAGGGGAAGAGAAAAUAAAUUUACCAAAUAAAACCCAUGACACAUGUUGAGACUUCACUUUCAACCCAAGCUUGAAAGAAAAUUAGCUACUCAUAAUUGAACUAGGGGCAAAAUGAGAAUUUAUUAAAAUACGAAGAAACUACAAGAUGGAGAAGGAAUUACAAAAAAUAGAGUCCAAAAAUGGAUUCAGAGAUAUCAAAUUAUGGGGGAGAGGCCCCCUUUUUAUAGAUACAUCAAGUAAAUCAUGGCCAUCGGAUUAAAAACAGUUUGGACGCUCAGGAUUGCGCCACGUCAUCAGUCAACAGUACGCGGUUUGACCACGCGGAUGAACAGUAACACGGUUUGACCUAGAUGAAUAGUAACGCGGUUUGACUCGGAUGAACAGUAACGCGUUUGAUUGAAAAUAAUCCUGUGUGAUGCAUGUACCGUACGCGAGAUUUUUCGUCCACUGAUAGGCUGCCACGUCACCAUCAACAGUACAUAAGAAUUUUAGCCCAACAGGAUCGUGACACCUCAUCAGUCAAUGCCACAUCAUCGGUCAAUGCCACGUCAUCAUCCGUCUAUGUGAACAAUGUAGUGAACAGUAACGUAGACAGUACCGUACACGUGAAUAGUACCGUACAUGUGAAUAGUGUCAUUUUUCCUUUUAUGCUCCUCCUAAGGUUUUCGACCGUCCUGAGUUCAAAAGUGAUGUCCGUUUUGCCGUCUGAUCUCUCCUUUAUUGUAAAAUGACUAUAAUGCCCCUAAAAUACAUAAAAUACUUAAUUAAAAUAAAACACAUGUAAUUAAAUCACAAGAAGGUUAAAUACAUAAAAGUAAGGGUUGUUAGUAAGACUUGAAAUGUAAAAUGACGGUCUUCUCUUUUAUAAAUUUACAUUUUCUAACACUCAACACACCCCCCAACCAGCUUAUUGCUAGUCCCUAGCAAAUAAAGCGAAAACAAAAUUCAAAUUCAAAAUAAAUUUUUUUUUAAUAAAAACACUCGUAUUUAUUCCAUUAGAUUAAUAAUAGCAAUCAAAUAAAAGUAUAAGCAUUAUCUCCAGUCUAAAGCAACAUCACACCCACAUCAACCAUCCACAUGAAUCAGCUCAGUAGACUUUGUUAUAGCUACUUUCAAGAAUGACAUGUCAAACCCCAAAAUCUCACUGGAAGUAGUGACACUCUCACAAAGAAAUUAAAACCAAUAAAAAUAGUCACUCCAAUGAAUGGUAAUUGAGAGAGAAAAUAAUAAAGAAGUGAUAUCACAUGCUCUCACCAAGAUGAAAUAAAUAUGCCCUCAGCUUAGAAAUAAUACAGUCUCAAGUCAAAUAAAAAUGCUAGUCAACCCAAUUUAUUUAUCUUUUUUUUAUAUUUAUUUAUUUAUUUUUAUUAUGCACCACUACAUCUCUUUAGCCCACAUAACUAGCUUCUACUUCAAAUUAUAGUUCCCUAAAAUCAGGAAGGACUUUUAUUAGGAUGUAACGUAGGCUAGGGACAUGGUUAACAAAGAAGGGAAAUAAGGAAAACAAAGUAUAUGUUUGAGAAAAAUGCAGAGGACUUUUUUUUUUUUUUUGGGAGUUGCAAGGUGGAUUUCACCUAUUAUUGUUAUUUUUAUUCUUUUGAAACAACAAUUUUUUUCUUUUGUUUUAGCAACAACAAUUUUUUAUUUGAACUAGGCAUAACUUCAUUGUACAAAAUGUUUAUUUACAUUUUUCUCAAACAUAAAUAGGUGAUGGAACUUAUAAGACAUCGGGUAAUACUCCAAAUCGGAGUGGGUCAAGAUGAUAAGUUGACAAAGAAAAGGUUUUUUUUUUUUUUAAAGGCUCAAAAGGGUUAACUAUGGAUAUUUAAUAAAAGGGAUGGCUAGAAAGGCUCAAACGGAUCAAAGAUGGCCUUUCCAUCGUCUUUUAGGGCUCUAAAUAAUCAUCCAUAUCUACUAGUUAGACAGGCCUCCAAAUGUAGCAACACACUUUUUUUUUUUAAUUUUACAAUUUUUUUUAAGGAUUAACUUAAAAGAAAUCUAAAGAUCGUGUAUAAAAUAAUAAACUGCUAAACUGUAUAGAGAAUGGGCAAAAGGGUUACUCUCCAAGAAAAUAAUAGGUUCAACAACUCACUUGGCACUUAUUUAUGACAUGUUCAUUCCUUCAAGCAACUCAUAUUUGUCUCCGACAUCAACAUGUAGAGUAGCAAACAUAAUGUAACAUCACUUAAGACCAAAGAUAAUACAAAUACUAAAAUUUGAAAUUAAUCAUGUCAUCCAAUGUUAAAACAAAUCACACAAUUUUUUUUUAACAACAUUCUACCCCCCAACCUAUUCUAAACAUGAAAGGAAAAUAUGCAUGCAGAAAUGUGAAAAUGAUGCAUAAAAACUAAUUAGAAAAGUUACACGUAAAAUAAUAGAAAACAAAGAUGGUUUUUUUUUUUUUAAAGAUGCGUUUCUAGAGGCACUACACUCCAUAUUCAGCCAUCUUCGACUCAAAAGUUGGAAAAUGUAUAUUUAUAGAGGAGAAAUUAAAAAGAAGAAGAAAAAUGAACAUCAAAACUUAAUAAAGAAAAAAAAAUUAUUUUUAAUUUUUUUGUUUUUUUAAUUAAUUAAUUUUUUUUAAAACAAUGAAGAUGCGUUUCUAGAGUCACUAUCCUCCAUAUUCAGCCAUCUUCAACAUAAAAAGUUAGCAAUAGUUAGUUUCUACAACAAACAAUUAGUAAAAACUUAACCAAAAUUCCACAAUUGUCGACUAUUCACUCCCCCCAACCAGAAUGAAACAUUGUCCUCAAUGUUUGAAAGGAAAGAAGUAGAGUUUAGAAGACAUCACCUGGGUGGUGCAACAUAGAAAAUAAUAUUUACAAGCGGAGAGUUAAAUCUAAUUUGUACUUCUUACUGCGGCUACCGUUACCAUCAUUAUUUGGAUGCUCCAACACAAAGGUCCAGGGGUCUGGCUCCGGUCUAUAAGCUUGUAACAUAUCAAGUAGCUCAUUAGCAGUGUGAGCACAAAUAAAGAGUUUUUUCGCAUUAGAGGGAAUGAAAUAGUUUUUUAUUGCAUGGUUAAGAAAUGCGAUAAAGCCAUUAUAAAAGUUAUUGACAUUUAACAAACCGAUGGGUUUUUGGUGGAUAUGCAGAUGGGCCCAAGAUGCUAGUGUGAUAAGUGCCUCUAGUGUUGCAAGAUCUCCUGGAAGGAAAAUAAAAGCAUCAGCAUGAUUAAGCAUUUCAGUUAUUCUUUCUUGCAUACCUGAGACGACUAACUCUUCUCCAGUUGAUGAGUUAGACGAACUGCCCAAUGGUUUUAGGACUCUUGGAAUGAUGCCUAACACUUGACUUCCUCUGACAAAAGCUGCUUCAGAGACCAUUUUUGAUAACCCUCGGUUACCUCCUCCAUACACCAAGUGUAAUUUUCUCUCUGCUAUACUUCGACCAAGAUCGAUGGCUGCCUCAACGAACUCUUUAUGUUUGCCAUAGGUAAAUCCAGAAAGCACACAAAUGUUCUUGAAUUGUCUAUUUGGAGUAGCUGCCAUUAUGAUACUUCUCAAAAAAUAAUUUGUGAGUGCUUGUAAAAAAAAAAUCACAUUUAAGAGCCUUGGUGACAGUGGGUCAUAGUUGUGUAUGAGGUAACAUGUCAGUGUCAAAUAACGUGUAAAGCACGUGGCUCGCGAGUCAAAAAGGAAACAGUAAAAGGGAAAAAGCAAACAGUAAUAAGGAAAAAGCAAACAGUAAUAAAAUUAUUAAAGACAAUAAUGCACACAAUAAAACAAUAGUGAAAUAAAAUAACAGUAAAGUGAAAGGAUAUUUACAGAUAGUUGCGACUGUGGCUCACAUCUUCCUCUGGUUUUAAGUCUAGAAACGGCUUGAACGCCCUCUAUGGGUCGAGGAUAGGCUUCUUAUCCAGUUUUGUUAUAAACUGGCAAACAGGGUCGUUUAUAGUUAGAUUCUCAAGACUAUAUCGUGCAUGCUCUUUCUGGAAUAAUGAUCAUAACUGGAGAAUCGCUCCUUGCACAUAUCCACUGGGAUGCGUUUCAAGAGACAAAAUGAUAUCAUCCAAUGACUCCUUAUUCAAGCCAUCCCUAAUGAAUUGAAUCUUAUCUUCCCUGUUAUCAGACAUCAUUCCUAAAGAACAUGGGUUUUUAUUGCAACUCAUUCUGGCACACUUAUGACAAACAACAGAAAUUCUUCGAGCUCGUUGUUUUCUUGCAUAAUUUUCUUUACCACAACCAGGCAUGUAUGCAAUAAAUUUUGGAGGUAACUCACCUGCCGAUCGUACUUUCGCCUCAAUUAACCAACGAAUAUCAGCAGGUAUGUUAUUCCUCAUGAGCAAUCGCAUGCGUUCGGACCGAGCUUUAUAGAUCGUAAGGAGGGCAUUCUGAGGAAGUGAAGGGAAUCGCUUGUAAAGCUUCGCUAGAAUCUCCUUUCUGUCCAUACUUUCGCCUCAGAAUAUCAGUUAUUAUGGGAAACUGAAGUAACCGACUUGAUUAUCACGGAGUACCGUUAUCCGCCACUUCACCAAGGUAACAAACUAAAGCACACAAACAGAAAAACAAAUUAAAACACAUAAAGAAAAUUAAAAUCGUCCUCUUAUUGAAUUCACCUCAAGCUCCAACUGGAUGUCGUAAACACUUCUCUCAAUAUCUCUGAGUUGGCUUUCUAGACCCUCAACAUAGGAUACUAACUCUGGUGGUUGACACGUUGAAGUGGUUUAAGAAUGUUCAGGAGGAAUGGUCUAAGUAAGGUACUCAUGAUUAAAAAUGAUAAGAGAAAACUUAAUAGUUAAACAAACACACUUAUGCAAAAAUAAUUUCAAUUAGCAAAAGAAUAAUAUAAAGAAAGAAAGAAAGAAAAAAUCAAAUCACUGAAAAGAAAAAAAUCAAUUCAAAUUUGGUGGGUCACUCAAAUUUAUUUCGAUGUCUUCUCCAUGUGGUUGGUAUUCUAGAUAUGGCUUUAAUCUUUGAGCAUUAACUUUAAACAUGACGCCAUUCUUUGGGUCCUUAAUUUCAAUUGCCCCAUGUGGAAAAACAGUAUGAACAAUAAAGGGACCAGACCAAUGAGAGCGUAACUUACCUGGGAAUAGGUGCAAGCGAGAAUUGAAUAAAAGUACUUUCUGACUUGGAGUGAAUGAUUUUCUCAUAAUUUGCUUGUCAUGAAAGACUUUCAUCCAUUGCUUGUAAAUCUUGGCAUUUUCGUAUGCAUCAUUGCGAAUUUCUUCAAGUUCUGCCAGUUGUAAUCUUCUUUCUGAGCUGGCUUGCUGCAUGUCAAAGUUGAAUUUCUUGAUGGCCCAAUAUGCACGAUGCUCGAGUUCCACAAGUAGGUGGCAAGCUUUUCCAUACACUAGCCUGUAGGGUGACAUCCCAAUCGGGGUCUUGAAAGCCGUUCUAUAUGCCCAUAAGGCAUUAUCAAGUCCUAAUGACCAAUCUUUUCUGUCCGGCCUCACCGUCUUUUCUAAUAUGUGCUUUAUUUCUCGAUUGGAGAUCUCAACUUGGCCACUGGUUUGUGGAUGAUACGGGGUCGCCACUUUGUGUGUGAUUGAAUACUUUGUCAAAAGAGCUUUGAAUGCUUUGUUACAAAAGUGGGCACCACCAUCACUGAUUAUUGCUCAAGGGAAUCCAAAGCGUGAGACAAUAUUGCUUUUCAAAAAUCCUAUCACCACCUUGUGAUCAUUGGUUCUGCAUGGAAUUGCUUCUACCCAUUUCGAUACAUAGUCAACAGCAACUAAUAUGUAUUGAUGGCCAAAAGAAGGGGGAAAGGGUCCCAUGAAGUCGAUACCCCAUAUAUCAAAAAUCUCAACCACUAAAAUUGAAUUUAGUGGCAUCAUGUUCCUUCGUGUAAUGCUCCCCAUUCGUUGACACCUAUCAUAUGAAGAACAGAAAGUGUAAGCGUCUUGAAAUAUAGUUGGCUAAUAGAAACCACAUUGCAAAACUUUAGUAGCUGUUUUCUUAGCACUGAAAUGGCCUCCACAAGCUUGUUCAUGGCAGAAUGAAAGGAUAUUCUGAAUUUCACUUUUGGGACACAUCGUCUAACAAUUUGGUCUGCACAAUACUUGAACAAAUAAAGGUCAUCCCAAAAGAAAUUCUUUAUUUCUGCAAAAAAUUUAACCUUGUCUUGCUUGGUCCAAUGCUCUAGAAGUUUACCUGUAACAAGAUAAUUAACUAUAUCAGCAUACCAAGGUAAUACUUCCACAUUCAUUAAUUGUUCAUUUGGAAAUGACUCAUUCAAUGGUAAUGAUUCUGUAAUUGUGUCAAAAUGGAGACGAGAGAGGUGGUCCGCCACAACAUUUUCUGUCCCUUUCUUAUCUUUGAAUUCCAAGUCAAAUUCCUGCAAAAGUAACACCCAACGAAUUAGUCUAGCUUUUGCAUCUUUCUUUGUAAGAAGAUAUUUAAGAGCAGCAUGAUCUGUGAACACGAUUAUUUUACAACCAAUGAGAUAAGAUCGAAAUUUCUCCAAUGCAAACACUACUGCUAGCAUUUCUUUUUCAGUAGUUGAAUAGUUCAACUAUGCAUCAUUCAAUGUCAUACUAGCAUAGUAAAUAACGUGGGAAAUUCGAUCAACUCUUUGUCCUAAUACUGCUCCUACUGCAUAAUCAGAUGCAUCACACAUGAGCUCAAAUGGUAAGCUCUAGUUCGGGGCCUGAAUGAUGGGUGAUGAUGUCAACAACUGCUUUAAUUUUUUAAAAGCCACAAGACAUGAAUCAUUAAAGAUAAAAGGUACAUCAUUAGCAAGUAAAUUGCAUAAGGGUCUAGAAACUUUGCUAAAAUCUUUAAUGAAACGUUUAUAGAAACCAGCAUGCCCAAGGAAAGAUCUUACUUCUCUGACUGUUUUGGGUGGAGGAAGAUUAGAAAUGAGAUCCACCUUGGCUUUGUCAACCUCAAUACCUUUGCUCGAAAUGAUGUGACCGAGAACAAUACCUUGUUUUACCAUAAAAUGACAUUUCUCCCAAUUUAAAACCAAGUUCUUCUCAAUACAUCUCUGCAGAACUAAUGUUAGAUGAUGUAAACAUUGAUCAAAUGAAUCACCAAAGACAGAAAAGUCAUCCAUAAAGACUUCAAGGAAUCGUUCAACCAUAUCAGAAAAAAUGCUCAACAUGCAUCGUUGAAAUGUAGCAGGUGCAUUACAUAAUCCAAAUGGCAUCCUCCUAUAUGCAAAAGUGCCAAAAGGGCAAGUGAAAGUAGUUUUCUCUUGAUCUUUUGGUGCUAUGGGAAUCUGAUUAUAUCUUGAGUAGCCAUCUAGAAAGCAAUAAAAUUCAUGGCCUGCUAAUCUAUCAAGCAUUUGAUCGAUAAAGGGUAAAGGAAAAUAAUCUUUACGUGUGACAGAAUUCAACUUUCUAUAAUCAAUGCAAACACGCCAUUCUGUAGUUACUCUAGUGGGUAUCAAUUCAUUAUCAGCAUUGGUAACUACUGUGACUCCUGACUUUUUGGGGACAACUUGUACAGGACUGACCCAUGAACUAUCAGAAAUUGGGUAAAUGAUACCUGCAUCUAAUAGCUUAAGGACUUCUGUUCUAACAACUUCUUUCAUAUUAGGAUUUAACCGACGUUGCAUUUCCCUAGUAGAUUUAGCAUUUUUAUCAAGGUGAAUGUAAUGCAUGCAAUCUACUGGAUUUAUACCUUUUAUGUCUGCUAUGGUCCAUCCUAAUGCUCCUUUGUGCUCUUUUAAAACAUCCAACAACUUACCUUUUUAUUCGUCAUUUAGGGAUGAUGAGAUGAUUACCGGUACAGUACUUUCUUCUCCCAAAAAUGCAUAUUCCAAAGUGUUGGGUAAUGGUUUGAGCUCAAGUUUCGGUGGUGAUUCUGAUGAUGGGAUGAGUUUCUUCUCUGAUGGUGCUAGUUGCUUAACUCUUGACUUCUAUUUAUCAGUGUCCAUAGAUGGUGUUGAGUCAAGUAGGGCGUUGACCUCAUCGACCGAUCUGUCAAUAUCAAAAUCCAAACCAAAGUGAGUUAAACAUGUUUGUAAAGGAUCAUCACUAAGGUUUGAAACAAAAGUAUCAUCAACUAAUGCUUCAAUUAAAUCCACAUCAACAAUUCCAUCAUCUGCACUGUGAGGUUGUUUGGCAAUGUUGAAGAUGUUCAGCUCCAUAGUCAUGUUGCCGAAGGACAACUGCAUAUUUCCGGUCCUGCAUUGAAUGUGAGCAUCCACAGUUGCCAAGAAAGGUCGGCCUAGAAUAAUGGGGAUGUGCUUCCUCGAGUCCUGUAUUGGUUGAGUGUCAAUUACAAUGAAAUCAACAGGAAAAUAAAAAUUGUCUACCUGGAUAAGCACGUCCUCCACAAUACCAUGAGGUAUUUUUGUGGACCGAUCUGCAAGUUGUAACACCACUGGAGUUGGGUGUAAUUCUCCAAGUCCAAGUUUCACAAACACUGAAUAAGGUAACAGAUUUACACUAGCUCCUAAAUCCAACAAAGCAUUCUCAAUUGUGUGGUUCCCUAUGCUACAUGAGAUAGUAGGGGAGCCCGGGUCUUUGCAUUUUAAAGGAAUUUUGUGUUGGAGUAUAGAACUAAUGUUUUCUGUUAAAAAUGCCUUAUUUUGAACAUGCAUAUUUCUUUUUUUAGUACAAAGGUCUUUAAGAAACUUGGCAUAAGAUGGAACUUGCUUAAUAGCAUCAAGCAAAGGGAUAUUAACACUUACCUGUUUGAAGAUUUCAAGAAUCUCACCUGUGGAUUUUCCCUUUUUUCCUUUAGCUAACCUUUGAGGAAAUGGAGCUUUCGGAACGUAUUCUCAUGAGUUGUUUUCUUCUUUCUCCUCCGGUGAUGAGUACUCAACAUUCACAGGUACAAUUUGAUUUUCUUUUGUCACCAGCAUCUCCACUUUGUUGUCGACUUCUUUUCCUUUUCGCAAUGUCAUGACUGCUUUGACUUCUCCAUGCUGUUGUGGUGAACUGGUACUUGCUUCAUGUACUUCUUUAGGAUUAGGCACGGGUUGACUUGGAAACUUGCCUUUCUCAACAGUCAUUGCCAAGGUCUGAACUGAAGAAGCAAGUUGUCCCACCAUCUUCUCGAGGCUUGAAACUGAUUGGGCUUGUGAGUUGAAGCCCGCUCUCAAUUCAUUUCGUAGUCCAUCAAUGGUGCGGUUCUGUUGCUCAAUCGUGGAGUGAGUAACAUUCCUGAAAUUCUGGAAUGCAUCCUCCCAUGGUCUAGGUUGAGAGUGGUUCUGGUUCUGAUUGUAUGGUCUGAAUGGUGGCUGAGAGGCUUGAGGAAUUUCAGAAAUUUGUUGCAUUGGUGGAGCUGGAGCUGCUGGUCCAUUCUGUUGGAAUCUUUGAGACCAUGAAAAAUUGGGGUGGUCUCUUCAUCCAGGGUUAUAUGUGUUGGAGUAUGGAUUGUAAUUUGAUGGCUUUCUCAUUACACCUAUGGCAUUGGCUUGAUCAGAGUAUGACUCAGGGUCAUGUGGUUCUGUUGAUUUAGCAGUCGAUAACGAUGCUAUUUGUCGAGCAAGACCUUCAACCAUCUCCUUGACUUCUUUGAAUCCCGAAGUUGACUCGCGAAUGUGAACCUCAUUUACUCCCUUAAUUCUUCUAGUAUUCCUGAAUGAUCGACUCCGUUGUUGGGAAUUAUCCGCUUGUCGCUGGAAGAAUUCCCAAAUCUCUGAUGCACUUUUUGACAUUAGCUCUCCUCCACUUGUUGCCAUUAGCCAUUCUUGCACAUUUGGUAGUGAUCCCUCCAAAAAGUAUUGGCAUUGGUGCCAUUUCUCGUACCCAUGAUGUGGACACUUCAAGAGUAGCCCAUUGAAUCGCUCCCAUGUUUCGAAAAACUGCUCGUACUCUCUCUGAGUAAACUCCGAGAUUUCCCUGCGAAUAGCAUUGGUUUUAUGCACUGGGAAAUAUUUAUUCAAAAAUUUAGUUACCAUUUGUUCCCAUGAUGAAAUGCUAUUGGCAGGCAAUGUAUUAAGCCAUGAACGAGCUCUAUCCUUUAAAGAAAAUGGGAAUAAUCUGAGUUUAACAUCAUUGUCUGAAAAAUUUUCAUAUUUAAAGUUUGACAAAUGGCAUGAAAAUCAUUCAGAUGAUUAUAUGGGUCCUCAUUUUCUAGGUCAUAAAAUGUGGGGAGACAAUUUAGCACACUAGAUUUUAAUUCAAAGCUCCUAGCAGCUACAUUUGGGUAUCUUAUACAUGAUGCGCUCAAAUUUGCUAAAGGACUGAAAUAAUCCUUAAAUGGCCUCUCCUGUGGUUGCAAAUCCAUUUUAUUUUUUACUUGUUUGUGUGUGCGAAGUGUUUUCUCAAGUUCAAGGUCUAUAGGUUCAAGAUUGGGUAAUAAUGACAUUCGACCAUGCAUGCAAAACAAAUAAAAUAAAAAAUAAAGAUGGGAACAAAAUAAAUAAAAAUAAAAAAGAGGGAGAAAUUACGAUACUAACCUUAUUGGGCUAUUACAAACUUUCUAUAAAAAUACACAAAAACAAAUACGUGAAAUAAAUUAACUAAACAUUAAAUUAAUAAAAUAAACAAAAAAAAUUACAAAGAAAAAUAAAUUAAAAAUUAAAUUACAGAAUUUUAAAGAAGAGAAAAAGGAAAGAAAUGCUAACCUUUAAAUGUAAAUUCACUUUUUUUUCUUUUUUUUAAUAAUAAAAAAAAUACAAGAAAACAAAUAAAAGAAAUUAUUCACAAAAAUUAAUUCUAAAAAUUACUUACCUCCCUGGCAACGGCGCCAAAAACUUGUUGUGCAAAUUUUAAUAUACUCGCAAGCGCACGAAUCUAUUGCAGUAUAGAUCAAUGGUGACGAGUGUCGAUCCCACGAGGAGGUGGAUUUUAAUUGUGUAGAAUUAAUUUUGUAAAUGGGUGAUUGGAUUUGUGGUGGAAAUGAUUUGGAAUAUCCUAAAACUUAAAUUAAAAUGGCGAGAAUAAAUUCUAAAAUUGGAAUUGAAAUUACGAGAAUAAAUUGAAGAGAAUUCUAUUAAAAUGACGUACUUGGGUAUCUGGAUCCGUAUCAACAUGCAUCAUGGGCUAAAUAAUCCUUAUUAAUGCCAAUUAAAUCAUGAGGGGGGAAUCCACACCUCAUGAACCACACUCUAAUCAAUAUGGUGCUAAGGGCUUAUCGUGCCAAAUAAUAAUAACCUUGUACUAGAGGGCCGGUGAAACCAAGGCGGUACUAGACAAGAUUAGUAUUAUUUGUCGACGAGAAGUCAAAACAUCCACAAAAACUAGAGGGGAAGAGAAAAUAAAUUUACCAAAUAAAACCCAUGACACAUGUUGAGACUUCACUUUCAACCCAAGCUUGAAAGAAAAUUAGCUACUCAUAAUUGAACUAGGGGCAAAAUGAGAAUUUAUUAAAAUACGAAGAAACUACAAGAUGGAGAAGGAAUUACAAAAAAUAGAGUCCAAAAAUGGAUUCAGAGAUAUCAAAUUAUGGGGGAGAGGCCCCCUUUUUAUAGAUACAUCAAGUAAAUCAUGGCCAUCGGAUUAAAAACAGUUUGGACGCUCAAGAUUGCGACACGUCAUCAGUCAACAGUAACACGGUUUGACUCGGAUGAACAGUAACACGGUUUGACUCGGAUGAACAGUAACGCGGUUUGACUCGGAUGAACAAUAACGCGUUUGGUUGAAAAUAAUUCUGUGUGAUGCAUGUACCGUAUGCGAGAUUUUUCGUUCACUAAUAUGCUGCCACGUCACCAUCAACAGUACAUAAGAAUUUUAGCCCAACAGGAUCGUGACACCUCAUCAGUCAAUGCCACAUCAUCGGUCAAUGCCACGUCAUCGAUCCGUCUAUGUGAACAAUGUAGUGAACAGUAACGUAGACAGUACCGUACACGUGAAUAGUACCGUACAUGUGAAUAGUGCCAUUUUUCCAUUUAUGUUCCUCCUAAGGUUUUCGACCGUUCUGAGUUCAAAAGUGAUGUCCGUUUUGCCGUCUGAUCUCUCCUUUAUUGUGAAAUGACUUUAAUGCCCCUAAAAUACAUAAAAUACUUAAUUAAAAUAAAACACAUGUAAUUAAAUCACAAGAAGGUUAAAUACAUAAAAGUAAGGGUUGUUAGUAAGACUUGAAAUGUAAAAUGACGGUCUUCUCCUUUAUAAGUAUGCAUUUUCUGACACUCAACAUGUGUGUGUAUGGAGGGCAAAUCUUUGACUACCUCCAGCUUCAAGGACCUAUACAAUAACUCUUAAAUCAAACGGAGAAAAUAGUUAAUUCAAUCUGAUUGAAUAUGAUUGAUAUUUACCAUAUGAUUAUUACAUAAAGAUUGAGCCUUAAGUGUUUUACAUUAAGUAAUACUGCACAUUUGUUCUACACAUUUAGACAACUCAGAGUAAGAAUUAUGAAAAUGACAACCAAAUCCAAACUAGCUAGGUGCACUAUUAUUAUUUAUCUUUGCUCCAUAAAUAUUAGAAAGAUAGAGGAGCGGAAGAAAAAGAAAAAACUAAUUUUGUAGUCACAAAUCAAUCUUAUGCUCUGAUUUUGAAGCAAAUCUGCAAAAUAUUUGAGGAUCCAACCAUGAAGCAUGUCCACUUCAAUCUUUCGCUGCACUGCUAACCAUUAUGGGUCGUCUUCUAUUGCUGGCUGUACGUCUAAGCAAUGGGAACCUACUCCAAUUUACACACUGUUAAUUAAUUAUGUUAUCAAAUAAUUUAGUUAAUAAUUGAACACUUAUUUUUUAUUUUAUAGAAAAAUUUACAUACUGCUUCUUGUUGUCACUGUUAUUAUAUUGUCUGAUAUCUUCCAAAACCCUAUAAUCUCCCCCCCACCAAAAAAAAAAGAAGAAAAAGAAUAAGGCAUAUAAUUAAACGGGUAACUUCGAUAGAAAAUAGUGUACAAAAUUUUUAAGCUUAAUUACCCCUCGCUGCUAUGGGAUCACGAAGGCCAUUAGGUAAAAUAAUGUUGCUACCAAAUCUCUUUAAAACCACUCUUAUAUCUUGCAAAUUAAAAAGAAAUAGAAAUCAAACAACAAUUGAGGUAAACUUUAUAAUUAAAAAAGAAAAUGAGAAAAAUUAAAUUAUUAAAAGAAUUAAUUUGGGGAUUAAUCAAUACUUACAUGACCUCCGUAAUAUGUUGUAAUCUAAUGUGGUCUCGGAACCACUCCAUAAGACUUAUUGCAUGAAUUCAUAUAUUCUGUCAGAUUAAAUGAGUAUGUUUGAAACAUUGUGUCGUUUUUGCCAAUUCCAAUUGGUGAGACCAUUUCAUUGUAUGUCUGGAUUGAACUCCCCCUCCCUAAAAAAAAUAAUAAAUAAAUAAGAUAAAGAAGAAAACUAUUUUUAAUCAUUCAUAAAUAUGUAUUCUCAUAAAUAAAAUUUAGAGAUGUACAUAAAAUAAGUAUUGUUAGACGAAAGACUCAUUCAUUGCGACAUGUUGUUUAUUUGACGGUCUCAAUAGUACUAUCCAAUUGGUUUAUUGGCUUAUAUUUGUGUGGUGUAGAUCUAUUUGAAUAACAUUGCAGAAAUAUGAGAUAAUAUGGAAAAUAUUAGAAAUAGUUAAUAGCAUUAUUAAGAUACUAAAUAUCAGCCAAAAUAAUAAAAUAAAUAAAAAGCUCAAAGAGUUCUUGUUGUAAAUCAUGACUCGAAUAGGAAAAUAAACAAGACUAAUCAUAUCUUUGUGUAAAUUUAAUUUGUAUAAAAAAAACGUGUAGGUGUAAUAUUAUAAAUAAACUCAUAGAGAAAAGAAUGUGUAAACUCCUGUGAUUUGACAAAAUAAUCAAAAUAAUCUGUUUAUUUUUUAAAAUAGUUACAAAGCUCCUUUUGUAACAUACAAACUAUGGAAAUUCAUGGGCUACUUAACAUCCAUUUUAAUUUUUUUUUAUUUACACAAAAACAUCAUAGACGAAAGAAGAUAAAAAAUUUCAUUGCACCCAAUUUUUUUGCAUGCGAUCAAUAAGGAAAAGAGGCAGAAAGUGUUGGAAAUAUAGCACAAGUGGCUAUUUGAGGCGUGAUUUUGAGUGAGACCUAUGUGGUGUAAGUGAAAAGUUAAAAUUGUUUCAAAUAUUUCUCUGUAAAUACUUCAAAAUGGUUUUAUCUAUAUGAUCAAAAUGAUCCUUGGAUAAAUGAGAAAUGGUAACUGAAAGUAAAUUCAUGGAAUUGGAAAAUUAAAGGAAGAUACAUUUGUCCCACAUGAAAAAGGUAGUGAAGGCAUGAAAGGCUUGUAUAUAAUUAUUUAUAGUAUGAGUAAAAUAUAAACCAAAAUGCUCUCUCUUCCGUGCUCCUUCCUGAGUAUACGAAAGUUGGCCCAAAUCGAUCGUGGUAGGCCUGCCUUAGUCUUGCACAUUUGAAGUUCAUCGUGAAACGAUCCCAUAGUUGUCGUUCAAACCUCUGGGCACUUAAAAAAAGGUUUUCUUUUUAUUUUUUUUAUAUUUUUUAAAUUUAAUAAAUGCCAUAUUAUUUAAUAUUUAAUUUUAAGGCAUCUUUUUAAGUUGAGGGCAGGGAACCACUCCGAUACGUAACUUCGUGACCUGCUAAUCUAAUCACCUUGACUUUGAAGACUUCUUCCCCUAGUCAGCAAUGAUUUGGAACUUACGUCUUGACAUAUGCUGUGGAAAAAAAAGAGUGAAGCAGACUUAUUAAGUCGAGAUGUUUCUUCAGUCUAGAUAUUUUCGUUUAUACGUGUACACAUAUUCAAUGUCUAACCUUAUUUUGAAAAAAGACUAAUGUCCUAUUUGGGAUUACGGUUGAAAUACUAUAAAUAGUUUAUUUUAUAAGUUUUGAUAAAAAUAAUGUUUGGUAAAUUUGUUAAAAGUUAAUUUAUAUUUUCUCUAUUUUGACAAUAGCUUUUAAAACAAGUAUGAGAUUAUUUUUAGAAGCAACUUAUUAAAUAAAAUGCAUUUUUUUAAAUUUUCUAUUAUAACUAAGAAAAGAAUAAUUGUAUCUUACUUUUUUUAUAAAUCCUAAUAUAUAAAUAAAAGACAAUUUAAACUUAUAAUUAUUUUAGUGAUUAUAUAAUAAAAUAGUUCUUGCAUAAUUGAAUUUACCAAACACUGAGCGAGCUACUUUUAUAAUGAUUAGCUUAUUUUAUCCGCAUAACAGAAGUAGUUUAUUCAAUAGCCACCGGAAUCUCAAACUGAUUCUAAGUCAUGUUUGGAAUUGCAUGACAUUGUCAAAUAAUUAACAAAAGAAGCUAUUAUGUAGAAGCAUAGGAACAGGUUGAGAAUGAGAGAUACAUGUACAUGGAGAGCAAAUUCUUUUACUCUCACCGGCUUCAACGACCUAUACAAUAACUCCUAAAUCAAAGGGAGAAAAUGGUUAAUUCAAUGUGAUUGUACAUGAAUUGAUAUUCACCAUAUGAUUAUUACAUAAAGAUUGAGCCCUUUAUAUGUGCUUUACAUUAAGUAAUACUGCACACUUGUUCUACACAUUUAGACAACCCAGAUUAAGAAUAAUGAAAAUGAACUCUUAAACUAGCUAGGUGCUCUAUUAUUUAUCUUUGCUCCAUAAAUAUUAGAAAGAUAGAGGAGAGGAAGAAAAAGAAAAACAACAACAUACACUCUAAAUAAUCCUUCAAUUCUGAAACAUCCUUCAGAGGCUUGUAAUCAAAUAAACAACAACAACAUAGAAUUAAGUGCCACAAGGUUAGUAACAUUAUAAAAGAUCUUUCAACAUGCCGUCUAAAAAAUGUUGUUAUAUUUAGUUAGAUUACAAUAAACUUUAUAAGUAUGAAGCUAUUGAUAUUAUCAAAUGCAAACGUACAAAUUUGGCCUUAUUUGAUAAUUAGAGUUGUGCGUGGUUUUGUAGUUCAAAUUUAGAUUCUGUAAAAUACGAACCUCUGGAGGGCUGAAUCUAAGCACCAGUAUACUAUAUAUAUGGUAAUGCAAAGGCCGUGUAUAAGCCCAAAUCCAGAUUUUUACUUUGUAUAUUACACGUUAAUCGAAAUGUAUAUAUACUCUGAGGAUGACAGAUAAUUAAUUAGACAUAGUACAUUCGAUAAUGAUGCUACAAUAACAUUGCAUUAAUUGUAAUUAAGGGAAAAUCGGAUGGAUAUAUAUAAGCAAUUAUGUAAAGUAAUAUGAUUAAUUUCUUGCAGGUUUUGAACUUUUUAGAGAGAAAAGCAAGUCCAUUUUUUCUAGCAGCGGUUUUAUCCAUUUCAACCCAGGACUGUUUGAUGGUCAUGUAGCAGCCCUCGCUGGCUUCCUGCAUCAUUAAUUUUCAAAAUUCAAUGGUUAAAUUUUAACAAGAAAACAUAAUCAUACAUAUAUAGAAUUUUAAUUAAUUAAUUUUUUUUCUUACCCUACAGUCAUUGGUGACAAGAUCAUAAUAUGCGUUUGAUGGUGUGAUAUUAUCAAAGUAGAGAAUUGGGGCGGGCGAGGCAACUGCUCCCAAAGACUGUGAGGAUACUUCAAGCGAAACCAUGCUGCAAGCACUGGUGAUAACAAACCCACAAUUGAGUAACUCUCAAAACCAUAUCACAUCCCAGAUUUGAUAAAAUAGGACUAAUUGAGAUGGUUAUUUUUAAAAAAGUAAUUAUCUUAAAUAUAUUUAGUAUUUCUUAAUUUUACGAUCGCUGAAAGUAUUCAUUAAUUGGAAUGCAAAAUAAAUUUGUAUCAAAAUAAUAUUGGCGUAAUCAAUAUUUUGGUCAAACGAGAUCAAAAUGAAUAAAAUGGCGCAACAAAUGACACGACAUUAAUCAAAAGAUGUAAGUAAGUUAAUAAUAUUAAAAUUUACUUCCUCGAUAAGAUGCUCCAACGACGAUAAUGGGUGACAUUUCGGCCGAUAAAUUUUCCUUGAUGUGUAAGAGAAUCUUUGCAUAAUCUACCAAAGCUUGACCAGAGUUUAAAUAUCCACGAAGAGUUGCAUUGUUUAGGGCAUCUUUGCUUGAUACAAAAGGUACUGAUUUUCCAUAGAACCGAUACUGCAUGAAAAAUUGAAUUAAAAAAAAUCCAUCACAACUUUUCAGUUCAUAUUAUAGAAUAUUCUGAUUAAGAUUUGUCUUUAUUAUUAUUAUUUCGUAUGCGAACUCUAUUUUAAUUAUUAUCAAGCUAGCCUGAUAACAAAUUCUUUACUUACCUCUAUGUAAACUUAUAAGGCUUUAAAUCGAUGAGCAUUAUCAGCAAGCCAUCCAAUGCCACCAAGGUCAUCAUAUCAAGACUACUCUCUUCACCAAGAUAUGCCAAUAUCGGCGCCGCCAUGGCUCUGCCACCACCCCAAUGCUUGAAGUUCAACGCAUAUCUAUGAGGAAAAGUUAAAUAACUUUGUGGAUUAUAGUUAAAGUGAUCAAGUGUUUGAUCAUAAUAGUAAGUUUCGAGAUCAUAAUAGUAACUUUGUGGAUUUUUUUGCUAGGGUUUUGAAAAAUAGUCCUUCCACGAACAGCACCAAGCUUUGGGAUGUUCUUUAAUGGUGAAGUGGAAGCAAAAGCAAAAUUUGUGACGAGAAGAAGAAAAAGGCAUGGAGCGACCGACCUUUCAUGGCAAAGUUGUAAAUCCUUAAUUAGCAGGAUGAUUAUGUAAAUACAGAAGAAAUAGAGUUAAGAUUAGAUUAUAAAUUCAGCUUCAAAAUCGACGUGUUUGUUAAUAUAUCCUGGAUUUGUUGUUAUCGUAUAAUAUAAUUAAUGUUGCUUUUAGUUUUAUAUUAGUAUGGAUCUUCAGUUUUCAUAAAAUUAUAGUGUGUCUAAUGUUGUGCAAAUUUUAUUGAACUCACAAGUGUACGAAUCUAUUGUAGAAUAGAUUAAUGGUGACGAGUAUCGAUCCCACGAGGAGGUUGAUUCUAAUUGUGUGUAGAAUUAAUUUUUCUAAAUGGAUGUUUGGAUUUGUGGUGAAAGUGACUUAGAUUAUCUUAAAAUUGGAAUUGAAAUGGCGAGAAUAAAUUGAAGAGAAAUCUAUUGAAAUGAAACACUUGGGUAUCUGGAUCCGUAUCAACAUGCACCAUGGGCUAAAUAUUCCUUAUUAAUGUCAAUUAAAUCAUGAGGGGGGAAUCCACACCUCAUGAACCACACUAUAAUCAAUAUGGUGCUAAGGGCUUAUCGUGCCAAAUAAUAAUAACCUUGUACUAGUGAGUCGGUGAAACCAAGACGGUAUCUAGACAAGAUUAUUAUUAUUUGUCGACGAGAAAUCAAAACAUCUACAAAAACUAGAGGGGAAGAGAAAAUAAAUUUACCAAAUAGAGCCCAUGACACAUGUUGAGACUUCACCUUCAACCCAAGCUUGAAAGAAAAUUAGCUACUCACAAUUGAACUAGGGGUAAAAUGAGAAUUUAUUAAAAUACAUAGAAAAUACAAGAUGGAGAAUAAAUUACAGAAAAUGGAGCCCAAAAUUGGAUUCAGAGAUAUCAAAUUAGGGGGGGAGAGCUCCCUUUUUAUAGAUACAUUGAGUAAAUCAUGGCCAUCGAAUCAAAAACAUUUCGAACACUCAGGAUUGCGCCACGUCAUUAGUCAACAGUACGCGGUUUGAACAGUAACACGGUUUGGUUGAAAAUAAUCCUGUGUAAUGCAUAUACUGUACGCGAGAUUUUUGGUCCACUGAUAUGUUGCCACGUCAUCGAUCAACAAUACAUAAGAAUUUUAGUCCAAUAGGAUCGUGACACCUCAUCAGUCAAUGCCACAUCAUCGGUCAAUGCCACGUCAUCGGUCAAUGCCACGUCAUCGUUCCGUCUAUGUGAAUAGUGUCAUGAACAGUAACGUAGACAAUACCGUACAUGUGAGUAGGACCGUACAUGUGAACAAUGACAUUUUUCCUUUUAUGCUCCUCCUAAAGUUUUCGACUGUCCUAAGUUCAAAAGUGAUGUCCGUUUUGCCGUAUGAUUUCUCGUUCAUUGUGAAAUGACUAUGAUGCCCCUAAAAUACAUAAAAUACUUAAUUAAAAUAAAACACACGUAAUUAAAUCACAAGAAGUUUAAAUACAUAAAAGUAAGGGUGUUAGUAAGACUUGAAAUGUAAAAUGAUGAUUUUCUCCUACAUAAAUAUACAUUUUCUAACACUCAACAUCUAAUAUAUAGUUAACAGUUUCGUAAUUAAUAAAAUUUUUUAUUAUUUCUUUCCUAGUAAUUAAUUAUCUUGUGCUGGAAAGAAUAUCACUAACCACAACUUCUGCAGAAGCUUCCUCACCUUCGGAUGACAUCAGCGGUGGGUCCAGGAUGUUUGAUCGGAUCGGCGAAAUUAAAAAUUUAUUGUAUAUGUUUGCGUGAAUAUUUACAAAGGAGUGAAAAAACUAAUAUAUUAAAUAACGCGACAUCAACAACGUCGUUCUGAAUGAAAUUUUUAUAUAUAAUUUGUAAAAUAAACUAAUAAUUAGAAUGACAAUUUAGCCUUUUUAACUUGUAGAGACACAACCUUAAAUUCCUUAAUAUGCUGGUUAAUUCAGAUCAUUGAGAUGGAGACAAUUAGACAAACCUUAUUUUAUCAGAGUGAACUGCGAAAGUACAAGCUUUACAAAAGAGAUUAAUGUCGUAGUGUGAAUAGAAUUAAAAAAUACUAAGGCAGACAAUUCGUCGAACACAUAAUAUUUGCUACAUUGCUACUACCUAAUAAUUUCACAACCAAUUAACAGUCUCCUUUAUUGGAAAAAUCACAUUAAUCAACCAAAUACAUUUCUUGGUUUCUAAGCUCCAAAAUUGAAAUUUCAUGAAAAGGUUUCUGCAUUGGUGUCUUAUUGCGAGCGAUAAAUUCGUUGGACACGAGUUGCAUUGUAGGUCGAGACUUUGGUUGAGAACGCAAGCAUGAAAAUACUACUGUUGAAACAAGAAUGAUAUCCUGCCUAAUCAUUUGGUCCCCCGGAGGCGGGAGGCGUGGGUCCAACAAAUCAAUCAGCUUUAUAUUUUUAUCCAAUGAUGACGAUGACGAUGAGAGGAGCGCUUCUGGAUGCCUUCCCACUAGUACUUCUAGUGCCACCACUCCAAAGCUAUAAACAUCACAUUUCUCUGUCACAAUCAUGGUGUAGGCAAGUUCUAUAGGAAAACAAAGGCCUUCAUUAGUAACGUUUCCAUAAAUAAUAACAAGAACAAUUUGUUCAUGUUUUUUAGCUUCCGCAGCAAGUUAUGACAAAGAAACUUAUGUUUUAACUUAUGUUCAUUGUGUGUGUGUUUUAAAAGGAAAAGGGGUAGGCAAAGUUUAAAUUUAUUUUUAGCCCCUUAGCUUUUUCAAAAUUCGAACCAAGUAGCGACAUAAAUAAAGCUGCUUAAAAGCUACUUGGCAGAGUAUAUAUAAAAAUUAAUUAAGAGGAUAAUUAAAGAAGCAUAAGAGGAAUAGCUAGAGGAUGACCUGGAGCAAUAUAUCCAAAAGUGCCAGCUAAAAGAGUUCGGUUGGAUGAGUCAAAAUUUAACAAUCUAGCAAUGCCAAAGUCCGCAACAAAUGCUUCUAAUUCUGAGUUAAGUAGAAUGUUGUUGCUUGAUAUGUCCCGGUGAACAAUUGGUGGUGUGCAGUGAUGAUGUAAGUAUGACAAAGCGUGAGCCAUACCCUUCACAAUGUUCACCCUUUUAGUCCAAUCCAACCCAAUAGCUUCCUCAUCUGUGCGUAGAACACAGAACAAGCUUCCCAUUUCCAUGUACUCAUAGAUUAAGAACAUGCAUGUCUUGUGCAAACAAAAGCCGUAAAGCUUUACGAUAUUUCGAUGCCGUAUUUGGGACAGUAGACGAGCCUCAUUCCGAAAACUCUCGAGGGAAGCUAACUCCUCAGUUUCUGAACGGUGAAGCUUCUUCAAAGCAACCACUUUUCCACUGGGCAGCCGUGCUCUGUAAACGCUGCCGUAGCCUCCGGUUCCAAUGCAGUAUUUGAUAUCGAAAUCCUCAGUGGCUUCAAUCAUGUCUUGAAAUGUAAUUCUACCAUCGUAAUUCCAAAUUGCAAACUCAUCAGCGCACUUGGUAAUUUCUCCUGUCCCAGUUGGUUCAACUUCCUUAUCCCUUCGUCUACGGAUAAUCAAGAUUCCAAAUAUCAAGGCAAGGAAUGCGACCAUAGCAAGAAUAAUUGCAACCAAGAGAGUGGCAAUCAUUUUGUGAUGUGGCGGUGGCGCAUUUGCCAAAGUAGUUGGGAUUUCUCCUCCGAAUUUAUUACCUGACACAUCUAAGUGUGGCACUUUUCUGACAAAUACAGGGAUUCCACCGGAAAGGUUAUUCAUGGAAAGGUCCACGGUGUGUAUGCCCGGAAUUGCUCCAAGUUGGUAAGGUAUUUUACCAUUGAUGGAGUUACAGCUUAGAUCAAGAUAAUAUAGUUCUUGAAGUUUGCCAAUCUGUGACGGAAUGCUUCCGCUUAACAAGUUGUUUCCCAAUAUUAAUGUCGUCAGCUUUGAGCAAUUCAUGAGUUCUGGAGGAAUUGGGCCAUCAAGUUUGUUGUCAGACAAGUCUAAAAAUGUCAACCUGUUUAAAUGACCAAGUGUUAAAGGAAUAGAUCCAGUUAGAUUGUUAUAUUCCAGGGACAGAGAUUUCAAGUUGACUAAACUAGCUAUGGUCGAAGGAAUUGGACCUUCAAGUUUGUUGUUGGGCAGGUCAAGAACUUGAAGAAAGUUCAAAUGACCCACAGACGAAGGGAUUGGACCAACAAGUUUGUUUUCAGACAAGUCUAAAUAUGUCAACCUGUCUAAAUGACCAAGUGUUGAAGGAAUAGGUCCAGUUAGAUUGUUAUCCUGCAGGGACAGAUAUGUCAAGUUGACUAAACUAGCUAUGGUCGAAGGAAUCGGACCUUCAAGUUUGUUGUUGGACAGGUCAAGAACUUGAAGAAAGUUCAAAUGACCCACAGACGAAGGGAUUGGGCCAACAAGUUUGUUUUCGGACAAGUCUAAAUCUGUCAACCUGUUUAAAUGACCAAGUGUUAAAGGAAUAGGUCCAAUUAGAUUGUUAUAAUGCAGGGACAGAGAUGUCAAGCUGACUAAACUAGCUAUGGUCGAAGGAAUUGGACCUUCAAGUUUGUUGUCGGACAGGCCAAGAACUUGAAGAAAGUUCAAAUUCCCGAUUUCUAAUGGGAUGGAACCAUUGAUUCGGUUUGAGUGCAUAUUCAAAGUAGUUAGCUGAGUCAAAGGACCUACAGACGAAGGGAUUGGACCAACAAGUUUGUUUUGGGACAAGUCUAAAAUUCUCAACCUCUUUAAAUGGCCAAUUGUUGAAGGAAUUGAACCUCCAAUUUCAUUUCUGGACAGGUCAAGAACUUGAAGAACCUUCAAAUUCUCGAUUUCUAAUGGGAUGGAACCAUUAAUUUGGUUUGAGGCAAUAGCCAAAGUAGUUAGCUGGGUUAGAUGACCUAGAGUGGAGGGGACAUUACCAACAAGGGAGUUAGAAGACAAGUUCAAAAUUUUCAAUUUGCUUAGACGACCAAGAGUUGGAGGGAUAUGUCCCGUAAGGUGAUUAUUAGAUAGAUCCAGGUGGACGAGAUUCCUCAAUCUCCCCAUCUCUGAAGGGAUAAUUCCUGUUGUGCAUGUGAUUUAUGAAAAACGAGAUCAGUAUUCACUAUCCUCAUAGCAACAAAAAAAAAUGCAAAAUUUAUAUGGAGAGAGAGUCAUACUCAAGUGCGGACGGCACACACUUCUUCAGCGUUGUAAAAGCAAACGCCCGCACUAAGCAUGAGCACGAUUUUAUAAAAAAUAUAAUAUGUUACAGUGAAGUUUGGCAGCUUACCGGUAAGAUUGUUGGAGGUCAGUUCAAGAGUUCGGAUUGUUGAAAGAACAGUAAUUUCAGAUGGAAUGCUCCCAGAGAGAAGAUAAUUUGAACGAAUUUUGAAACUUCUGAGGUUGGGAAAGCAAGAGAAUUUGAAACGACCAAGCUCUCCUGUGAUGUUAUCAUUUUCAUACCAGAGUAAGCUGACCCCGAUUACGCUUACCGCUGAAUUGCAACUGAUGCCAGUCCACUUACAAUGAUCGGACGUGUAGUUGCCCGUCGUCGCCCAAUUGUUGACCCACCAGCCGGUAGCAAGUAAAGCUUCCCUUUCUAACAGUAUGGGUGACGACAACAAUCCUGCAGCUGAUGUCGUUACAGAUAUUGUCGUAUCACUUAUAGCACCAACAUUUAUUAAAAUUAUAAUGACCACCAGUCUCGAAACAGAGGACGCUGAUGCCAUGUUUAUGGUGGUUUUCUGUUGAUUGAGCUACAUUUGAUUCUCAGCAAAGCGUUUAUAUAAGAAUCAAUUGUUUUGCAAGCUCCCAGUGUUAACUUCCAAUACGCGUUUUCAAAUAGUGUGAGUCAAUGUCUUCUCUGGAUGGAUUCAAUCAUGGAGAUAUAACCUUAUCGGCUUGUAUUUGUGAGGUGUAGAUCUAUUUGAACAACUUUGCAGAAACAUGAGAUAAUAUGGACAAUAGUAGAAAUAAUUAAUAGCAUUAUUAGUAGUAUAAGAUAUUAAGUAUUACCCAAAAUAAGAAAAGGAAAAAAGUUCAAAGAAAAGAAUUGUUAUAAAUAAUGGCUCAAAUAGGAAAAUAAACAAGACUAAUCAUAUCUUUUGUAACAUACAUACCAUAGCUCAUGGGCUAACUAACAUUUUUUUUUUUUAACCCUAAACAUCAUAAAUGAAAGAAGAUGAAAUUUUAAUUACCGCUCAAUUUUUCUGCACGCAACCAAAUUUAAAAAAAAAGAAAAAAGAAAGUGUUAGAAAAAUAAUGCGCAAGUAGCUACUUGAGGCAUGAUUUUGAAUGAGACCUUUUUGGUAUAAGUGAAAAUUCAGAAAUUGUUUCGCAUAUUCCUCUAUGAGUACUUCGGAAUGUUAUCUAUACAAUCAAAAUGAUCCUCAAGUGAAUGAGAAAUUGUUACUCAAAGUGCACUCAUGAAUUUGAAAAAUUAAAGGAAAAUACAUUUGUCCCACAUUGGAAAGAUUUAUACAUAAUUACUAGAUGAACGGUAAGCUACUAUUAGCAAAGGGGCGUUCCUUGUGCACAGUCACGGGAGUGCAAAAUUUAACCACCCCAAUUAGCUUAACCAGUGUUCAUAUUGGGGGUGUUUACCCGACCCUUAGUUGGGGUUAGCUAAUGUGGCAACUUAGUUUGCCUUUUUUUUUUUUUUGCUCUUUGUAAUAAUAAUAAUAACAAAUUAAUAUAAUUUUUUAAUUUAAUAUUAUAUUACAUAAUAUUAAAUUAUGUUUUAAUUUUUAUUAUUUUAAAUAUAUAACUAAACAAUGUAUUAUUUAAUUGUAUUAUUUUAAUUAAUAUAUAAAAUUAUAUUAAUUAAUCUUUAAUAAGUUAAUAUAAUUAGUAAUAAAUACUUAAAUAAUAUAAUAUUACAUUAUUAAUUAUAGUACAAUAAUUAAUUUAGCUAUUUUUAAAUAAUUUAAUAUAACUAACAAUAAAUAUUUAAAUUUGAAUAAAUUUGAAUAAUAUUAAUUGAAAAUUAAUAAUAUAAAUAAUUACUGGAUUAUUUAGCUCAAUUUAUUUUCUUAGUGAAUAUGUCAUAACAAUUGUAUCACUUUAUUAUUCUAUAAUUAUCUUGUAAUAUGUAUAAAUUUUUAUUCUAUCAUCCUCAAAUGAUUUUUGAAUUAAUCUUGAAGAUUUUAACUAUUUAUUUAUGUUGUUAAAUUAUUUAGUGAUUAUUUGAUUAAAUUAUUUACUUCGAUCUUUAUUUCACAAGUUAUAUAUUUAGAAAAUACUGAAAAAUACACAUCCAAAAAUUUAAGACUAUAAGCCUCGGAAAAAUUAUGACAUUUCAAUAUAUAUUUUUAAUAAAAAUGUUAAAUUUCUAAAUUUCUAAAAUUUAAUAAUUUUAUAUUUAUUAUUUUUAAGUACUAAUAAAUAUUAUUUUCUAAAUAUAUAAUUUAAAUUAAUCACAAAAAAAUUAAUACAGUACAGUGUAACGCUAAACAUUAUACAACAUUAUUAUAAUACAAUGCUAAUGCAAUACAACAUAAUACAAUACACCUACAAUAAAAUAAUGCAAUACAACAUAAAAUAGAAUACAGUGUGUCAAAUGCACCAUUGUAUUAUUGUUUCGUUCUCAUGGUAUAAUUGCCGUCCAUACCUGUGCAAAACAUUAAGAGUUAAAAAUAUAUAUUUUUAUGAUUAAUUUUAGAUUUUUUUAAACUUUAAUAAUGCCAUAUUAUUUAAUAUUACAAUUGCCGUUCGAACAUGUGCAAAACAUGAAGACUAAUAUAUAUAUAUAUAUAUAUAUACACACCAUAUUAUUUAAUAUUUAAUUUUUAAGGCAACUUUUACUUUUAAAAAAAAAAUUUAAGGCAACUUUUUUAGUUGAGGGCAGGGAACCCCUACGAUACGUAAUUCCAUAACACGCUUAUCUAAUCACCUUGACUAUAAGACUUCUCCUAGUCAGCAAUUAUUUGGAAAAAAACGUCUUGACAUGUGCUGUGGAAAUUAAAGAAUGAGGUGGACUUACGAAGUCAAGGGGUUUUUCUAGUCUACAGAUUUUAAUUUAUAUGUGUAGAAAAUUAGAAAUAUUCAGUGUCUAAUCUGAUUCUACAUAAAGACUAAUGCCCCAAGAUUGUGAUUGAAAUACCACAAGCAGUUUAUUUCAUAAGUUUAGGUAAAAAUGAGGUUUGAUGGCUUUGUUAAAAGUUGCUUCUUUCGUAAUUUUCUCAUUUUGACUGCAACUUCAAAAAAUAGGCAGGAGAUUAUUUUGAUAAGCAACUUAUUAAAUAAGUUGCUAGAUCUUUUUAAAUGUUCCUAUAAUAAUCUUAAUAUUUUAAGAAAAGAAUAAUUAUAUCUUUCUUUUCUAUAAGCUCUAAUAUAUAAAUAAAACACAGUUUAAACUUAUGUCUAUUUUAGUGAUUAAAUAAUACAAUACAUUCAUAAUCAAAUUUACCAAACACAAGCAAGAUACUUUUUUAAUCAUCAACUUAUUUCAUCCUCACAACAAAAAUAACUUAUUUUAUCAGCCACCGCCAUCCUAAACUUGAUGCUAAGUCACAUUUGGGAUUGCAUUUGAUUGUCAAAUAAUUAAGAGAAAUAGCCAUUAUGGAGAAGAAUAGGGAGAGGUUCGCCUAAAGCAAUAUACCCGUAAGCUUGGCUACUAAUAAACGGAGCAUAUAAGCAUAAACACCUAACUUUUGAGGCAUAUAAGGGAUCUAAAAGUGCGGGAAACGUUCGGAAAAACUUUAAAACCACAGGGUUUUAAAGGCUUAAACUGCAUGGUUUAUGUGUUUUCCUAGAUAUUCCUACACUUUAAAAUUCAAGAUUAAAACAUUUCCAUAUGUGUGUGUGUGUGUGUGUGUGUGGAGGGCAAAUCUUUGACUCUCUCCAGCUUCAAGUACCUAUACGGUAACUCUUAAAUCAAAAGGGAGAAAAUGGUUAACCCAAUCUGAUUGUAUAUGAAUUGAUAUUCACCAUAUGAUUAUUGCAUAAAGAUUGAGCCUUAAGUGCUUUACAUUAAGUAAUACUGAACACCUGUUCUACACAUUUAGACAACUCAGAGUAAAAAUUAUGAAAAUGACAACCAAAUCCAAACUAGCUAGGUGCACUAUUAUUAUUUAUCUUUACUCCAUAAAUAUUAGAAAGAUAGAGGAGAGGAAGAAAAAGAAAAGACUAAUUUUGUAGUCACAAUUUAAUCUUAUGCUCUGAUUUUGAAGCAAAUCUGCAAAAUAUUUGAGGAUCCAAUCAUGAACCAUGUCCACUUCAAUCUUUCGCUGCACUACUAACCAUACUGGGUCAUCUUCUGUUGCUGGCUGUGUGUCUAAGCAAUGGGAACCUACUCCAAUUUACACACUAUUAAUUAUGUUAUCCAAUAAUUUAGUUAAUAAUUGAACACUAAUUUUUUAUUUUAUAGAAAAAUUUAAAUACUGUUUCUUGUUGUCACUGCUAUUAUACUGUCUGAUAUAUCUUCCAGAAUCCUAUAAUCCCCCCCCCCCCAAAAAAAUAGAAGAAACAGAAAAGAUAUAUAAUUAAACAGGUAACUUCGAUAGAAAAGAGUGUACACAAUUCUUAAGCUUAAUUACCCCUCGCUACUAUAGGGAUCACGAAGGCCAUUAGAGAAAAUAAUGUUGCUACCAAAUCUCUUUAAAACCACUCUUAUAUCCUGCAAAUUAAAAAGAAAUAGAAAUCAAACAAAAAUUGAGGUGAACUUUAUAAUUAAAACAGAAAAUGAGAAAUCUUAAAAUAUUAGAAGAAUUAAUUUGGGGAUUAAUCGACACUUACAUUACCACUUUAAUAAGUUGUAAUCCAAUGUGGUCUUGGAACCACUCCAUAAGACUUAUUGCAUGAAUCCAUAUAUUCUGUCAGAUUAAAUGGGUCUGCUUGAGACAUUGUGUCGUUUUUGCCAAUUCCAAUUGGUGAGACCAUUGCACUGCAUGUCUGCAUGAGAAACCCCCCAAUAAUAAAAAAUAAUAAUAAUAAAAUAACAUAAAGAAGAAAACUAUUUUUAAUCAUUCAUAAAUAUAAAGUCUCAUUGCCACAUGUUGUUUAUUUAACGGUCUCAAUAGAACUAUCCAAUGAAAUCAUGUCACUUGUAAUUGCAUACCUGUCAGCCCCAGCUGGAGUCCAAUGUUGCAUCGGAGAAGAAUUCAUCAACAUCAUGGCAAGAAUCCUCCCCUCUUAAAUCAACAAUUCCUGAGAUGAUCCAGUCUAGGGCAUCUGUGUCUUCUAAAGCUCCAUCAAUUGCAUUACAGGCUUUGUUCACUGGGCUUUCCUGAGGAUCAUCAUACUGAGCUGCACCCGUAUACAUAUACUCUAAAUAAUCUUUCAAUUCUUAAACAUCCUUCAGAGGCCUGUAAUCAAAUAAACAAUAACAUAGAAUUAAGUGCCACAAGGUCAUUAAUUUUAUAAAAGAUCUUUCAACAUAUUGUCUUCAAAAUGUUGUUAUAUUUAGUUAGAUUACAAUAAACUUUAUAAGUAUGAAGCUAUUGAUAUUCUCAAAUACAAACGUUCAAAUUUGGCCUCAUUUGAUUAUCAGAGUUGUGCGUGGUUUUGUAGUUUAAAUUUAGAUUCUGCAAAAUAUGGACGUCUGAACCUAAGCACCAGUAUACUAUAUAUGGUAACGCAAAGGCCGUGUAUAAGCCCAAAUCCAGAUUUUUACUUUGUAUAUUACACGUUAAUCGAAAUGUAUAUAUACGCUGAGGAUGACAGAUAAUUAAUUAGACAUAGUACAUUCGAUAACGAUGCUACAAUAACAUUGCAUUAAUUGUAAUUAAGGGAAAAUCGGAUGGAUAUACAAUACAAUACAAUAUACAAUAUGGAUAUACAAUAACAUACAAUAUGAUUCUGAUACAACCCCAAUAUUACAGUUAGACAAGCCCAACUCAGCUAGCUCUAUCAAUACUGAGGAAAAGGCCCAGGCAAACUCAAGUGAGGCUAUCCAAAAUCGACCCCAAGAUAACCUCAAGCCAAGUCGCGUAAGGAAGCCUCCCAAAUGGCUCAAGGAUUACACAUACUGAGCAUAUAUGAGCUGAGGACUCGGUUUCUAACGGCCUUAGCUAUUUAGAGAACAACUUUUUUGUUAUAGAGGGAGGUUGUUAUUUAGUUUUGACAGCUGUGAGCAUAUUCUUGCUGCUAUAAGUAUUUCCAUGGUUGUAUUUGAUGAUAUAUAAAAUUCUGGACCUAGUUUCUUCUUCUUCUCUGAAUUUUUCUCUCUAUUCUAUCUUGCCAUUCACUCAUUUCUUUAAAAUUCUGGGAGCUUGCACUUGCUUGAAAAGUGUGGAAACCUUGCUGUUCGGUGUGUUCACCAGCGGCAUAACAGAUUCAUUACUUGCAGGUUUUGAACUUUAUAGAGAGAAAAGCAAGUCCAUUUUUUCCAGCAGCGACUUUAUCGAUUUCAGCCUAGGACUGUCUGAUGGUCUUGUAGCAGGUCUCGCUGGCUUCCUGCAUCAUUAAUUUUCAAAAUUCAAUGGCUAAAUUUUAACAAGAGAACAUAAUCAUGCUUAUAUAAAAUUUUAAUUAACUAAUUUAUUUCUUACCCGAAAGUCCUUGGUGACAAGAUCAUAAUAUGCGUUUGACGGUGUGAUAUUAUCAAAGUAGAGAAUUGGGGCGGAUGAGGCAACUGCUCCCAAAGCAAUGUGACGAUACUUCAAGCGAAACCAUGCAGCAAGCAUUGUUGAUAACAAACCAACAAACGAGUAACUCUCGAAACCAUAUCACAUCCCAGAUCUGAUAAAAUAGGAUGAAUAGAGAAGAUUAUUUUUAAAUACAUAAUUAUCUUGAACAUAUUUAUUAUUUCUUGAUUUUACGAUCGCCAAGAGUAUUCGUUAGUUGCAAUAUUAAAUAAAUUUGUAUCAUAGUAAUAUUGCUGUAGUCAAUAUCUUGAUCGAUCAAUCGUGAUCUAAAUGAGUAAAAUGAUGUGACAGAUGACACGACAUUAAUCAAAAGAUGUAAGUAAGUUAAUAAUAUUAUAAUUUACUUCCUCCAUAAGAUGCUCCAACAACCAUAAUGGGAGACAUUUCGUCCGAUAAAUUUUUCUGGAUGUGUAAGAGAAUCUUGCAUAAUCAGCCAAAGCUUGAGCAGAGUUGAAAUAUCCACGAAGAGUUGCAUUCUUUAGGGCAUCUUUGCUUGAUACAAAAGGUACUGAUUUUCCAUAGAACCGAUACUGCAUAAAAAAUUGAAUUAAAAAAAAAUCCAUCACAACUUUUCAGUUCAUAUUGUAGAAUAUUCUGAUUAAGAUUUGUCUUUAUUAUUAUUAUUUCGUAUGUGAACUCUAUUUCAAUUAUUAUCAAGCUAGCCUGAUAACAUAUUCUUUACUUACCUCUAUGUAAACUUGUAAGGCUUUAAAUCGAUGAGCAUUAUUAGUAAGCCAUCCAAUGCCACCAAGGUCAUCAUAUCAAGACUACUCUCUUCACCAAGAUAUGCCAGUAUCGGGCGCCGCCAUGGCUCUGCCACCACCCCAAUGCUUGAAGUUCAACGCAUAUCUAUGAGGAAAAGUUAAAUAACUUUGUGGAUUAUAGUUAAAGUGAUCAAGUGUUUGAUAAUAAUAGUAAGUUUCGAGAUCAACAUAGUCACUUUGUGGAUUUUUUUGCUAGGGUUUUGAAAAAUAGUCCUUCCACGAACAGCACCAAGCUUUGGGAUGUUCUUUAAUGGUGAAGUGGUAGCAAAAGCAAAAUUUGUGACGAGAAGAAGAAAAAGGCAUGGAGCCGCCGACCUUUCAUGGCAAAGUUGUAAAUCCUUAAUUAGCAGGAUGAUUAUGUAAAUACAGAAGAAAUAGAGUUAAGAUUAGAUUAUAAAUUCAGCUUCAAAAUCGACGUGUUUGUUAAUAUAUCCUGGAUUUGUUGUUAUCGUAUAAUUUAAUUAAUGUUGGUUUUAGUUUUAUAUUAGUAUGGAUCUUCAUUUUUCAUAAAAUUAUAGUGUGUCGAAUAUAUAGUUAUCGGUUUCGUAAUUAAUAAAAAUUUUUAUUAUUUCUUUCCUAGUAAUUAAUUAUCUUGUGCUUACCAGAAUAUCACUAACCACAACUUCUGCAGAAGCUUCCUCACCUUCGGAUGACAUCAGCGGUGCGUCCAGGAUGUUUGAUCGGAUCAGCUAAAUUAAAAAUUUAUUGUAUAUGUUUGUGUGAAUAUUUACAAAGGAGUGAAAAAAAACUAAUAUAUUGAAUAACGCGACAUCAAGAACUUCGUUCUGAAUGAAAUUUUUAUAUAUAAUUUGCAAAAUAAGCUAAUAAAUAGAAUGACAAUUUACCCUUUUUAACUUGUAGAGACACAACCUUAAAUUCCUUAAUAUGCUGGUUAAUUCAGAUCAUUGAGAUGGAGACAAUUAGACAAACCUUAUUUUAUCAGAGUGAACUGCGAAAGUACUAGCUUUACAAAAGAGACUAAUGACGUAGUGUGAAUGGAAUUAAAAAAUACUAAGGCAGACAAUUCGUCGAACACAUAAUAUUUGCUACAUUGCUACUACCUAAUAAUUUCACAACCAAUUAACAGUCUCCUUUAUUGGAAAAAUCACAUUAAUCAACCAAAUACAUUUCUUGGUUUCUAAGCUCCAAAAUUGAAAUUUCAUGAAAAGGUUUCUGCAUUGGUGUCUUAUUGCGAGCGAUAAAUUCGUUGGACACGAGUUGCAUUGUAGGUCGAGACUUUGGUUGAGAACGCAAGCAUGAAAAUACUACUGUUGAAACAAGAAUGAUAUCCUGCCUAAUCAUUUGAUCCCCCGGAGGCGGGAGGCGUGGGUCCAACAAAUCAAUCAGCUUUAUAUUUUUAUCCAAUGACGAAGAUGACGAUGAGAGGAGCUCUCCUGGAUGCUUUCCCAUUAGUACUUCUAGUGCCACUACUCCGAAGCUAUAAACAUCAGAUUUCUCUGUCACAACCAUGGUGUAGGCACGUUGUAUAGGAAAACGGAAGUCUUUAUUAGUAAUGUUUCCAUAAACAAUAACAAGCACAAUUUGUUCAUGUUUUUUAGCUUCUUUAGCAAGGUAUGACAGAGAAGCAUAUGUUCUAACUGAUAUUCAGUGUAUGUGUGUUUUGAAAGGUAAAGGGAUAGGUAAAGUCUAAAUUCAGUUAUAGCUCCUUAGUUUUUUCAAAAUUCGAACCCAAGUAGCGAGCUAAAUAAAGCUGGUUAAAAACUACUUAGCAGAGUAUAUAUAAAAAUUAAAUAAGAGGAUAACUAAAGAAGCAUAAGAGGAAUAGCUAGAAGAUGACCUGGAGCAAUAUAUCCAUAAGUGCCAGCUAACAGAGUUCGAUUGGAUGAGUCAAAAUUUAACAAUCUAGCAAUACCAAAGUCAGCAACAAAAGCUUCGAAUUCUGAGUUGAGUAGAAUGUUGUUGCUUGAUAUGUCGCGGUGAACAAUUGGUGGUGUGCAGUGAUGAUGCAAGUAUGACAAAGCAUGAGCCAUACCCUUCACAAUGUUCACCCUUUUAGUCCAAUCCAACCCAACAGCUUCCUCAUCUGUGCGUAGAAUACAGAACAAGCUUCCCAUUUCCAUGUACUCAUAGAUCAAGAACAUGCAGUUCUCGUGCAAACAAAAGCCGUAAAGCUUUACAAUAUUUCGAUGCCGUAUUUGGGACAGUAGACGAGCCUCAUUCCGGAAACUCUCGAGGGAAGCUAACUCCUCAGUUUCUGAACGGUGAAGCUUCUUCAAAGCAACCACUUUUCCACUGGGCAGCCGUGCUCUGUAAACGCUGUCGUAGCCUCCGGUUCCAAUGCAGUAUUUGAUAUCGAAAUCCUCAGUGGCUUCAAUCAUGUCUUGAAAUGUAAUUCUACCAUCGUAAUUCCAAAUUGCAAACUCAUCAGCGCACUUGGUAAUUUCUCCUGUCCCAGUUGGUUCAACUUCCUUAUCCCUUCGUCUACGGAUAAUCAAGAUUCCAAAUAUCAAGGCAAGGAAUGCGACCAUAGCAAGAAUAAUUGCAACCAAGCGAGUGGCAAUUGUUUUGUGAUGUGGCGGUGGCGCAUUUGCCAAAGUAGUUGGGAUUUCUCCUCCCAAUUUAUUGCCUGACACAUCUAAGUGUGGCACUUUUCUGACAAAUACAGGGAUUCCACCGGAAAGGUUAUUCAUGGAAAGGUCCACAGUGUCUAUGCGUGGAAAUUCUCCAAGUUGGGAAGGUAUUUUACCAUUAAUGAAGUUACCGCUUAGAUCAAGAUAAUAUAGUUCUUGAAGUUUGCCGAUCUGUGACGGAAUGCUUCCGCUUAACAAGUUGUUUCCCAAUUUUAAUAUCCUCAGCUUUGAGCAAUUCAUGAGUUCUGGAGGAAUUGGGCCAUCAAGUUUAUUGUUGUACAUAUUCAAAGUAGUUAACUGAGUCAAAUGACCCAGAGACGAAGGGAUUGGGCCAACAAGUUUGUUUUGGGACAAGUCUACACUUCUCAACCACUUUAAAUGGCCAAGUGUUGUAGGAAUUGAACCUCCAAUUUCAUUUCUGGACAGGUCAAGAGCUUGAAGAACCUUCAAACUCCCGAUUCCUAAUGGGAUGGAACCAUUCAUUUGGUUUGAGGCAAUAGCCAAAGUAGUUAGCUGGGUUAGAUGACCUACAUUGGAUGGGAUAUUACCGACAAGGGAGUUAAAAGACAAGUUCAAAAUUUUCAAUUUGCUUAGACCACAAAGAGUUGGAGGGAUAUGUCCCAUGAGGUGAUUAUCAGAUAGAUCCAGGUGGACGAGAUUCCUUAAUCGCCUCAUCUCUAAAGGGAUAAUUCCUGUUGUGCAUGUGAUUUAUGAAAAACGAGAUCAGUAUUCACUAUCUUCAUUAAAAAAAAAUUACAUAGAGGGAGAGUCAAGCUCAAGUGCGGACGACUCACACUUCUUUAGUGUUGUAAAAACAGACGCCUGCUUUAAGCAGCAGCGCGAUUUUAUACAUACAUAUAUAUAUAUAUGGUGAAGUUUCACAGCUUACCGGUAAGGCCGUUGUAGGGCAGUUCAAGAGUUUGGAGCAUUGAAAGGGCAGUAAUUUCAGAUGGAAUGCGCCCAGAGAGAACAUAAUUUGUACGAAUUUUGAAAUUUCUGAGGUUCGGAAAGCAAGAGAAUUUGAAACGACCGAGCUCUCCUUUGAUGUUAUCAUUUUCAUACCAGAGUAAGCUGACCCCGAUUACGCUUCCCGCUGAAUUGCAACUGACGCCAGUCCACUUACAAUGAUCGGACGUGUAGUUGCCCGACGUCGCCCAAUUGUUGACCCACCAGCCGGUAGCAAGUAAAGCUUCCCUUUCUAACAGUAUGGGUGACGACAAUAAUCUUGCAGCUGAUGCCGUUACAGAUAUUGUCGUAUCACUUAUAGCACCAACAUUUAUUAAAAUUAAAAUGACCACCAAUCUCGAAACAGUGGAUGCUGCUGCCAUGUUUAUAAUGGUUUUCGGUUGAUUGAGCUGGCUAUUUGAUUCCUUGCAAAGCGUUUAUAUAAGAAUUAAUUGUUUUGCAAGCUCCCGGUGUUAACUUCCAAUACGCGUUUUCAAAUAGUGUGAGUCAAUGUCUUCUCUGGAUGGAUUCAAUCAUGGAGAUAUAACCUUAUCGGCUUGUAUUUGUGAGGUGUAGAUCUAUUUGAACAACUUUGCAGAAACAUGAG
rnacentral:lncRNA from 1 species